rnacentral:lncRNA from 1 species
UCCAGGCGUAUGGCUUCUCAGACCUAUUUUGCAGAAUUGGAAGUGCAUAUCUUCUGCCUCUUUCUCAGUCUUAGUGGAAGGCUCCCCCAUUUCACCCUUUAAGAAUAAAAAAGGUAUCAGACAAGGUGACCGGUGACCCUCUAUCCCCCGUCCCUUUUAAUAUGAUGAUGGAUAUACUAGGUAGACUUAGAAGGAAGCCAGGGAAAAAGUAUAUGACACAUGUAUAGUGAAUGGAGCCACGACCUCUGCAGAUGAUAUACUAUUAUUCACAAAAGCAAAUCCCAAAACUUUAAAGGCAACCAAAUCUAUCCUGAAAGCCUUCUCUGCCAUCUCUGGGCCUAUGAUCAAUUCACAAAAAAGAUCAAUCGUCUUCUCAAAAGUCUGUAAAAAAUCAAUAGAGCUACAACAAAUCCUGUAACCCCUAUUGGCGCCUCCAGGUAUUGGGCCCUAAUUGAAUCUGGACCCUCCGAUUCACUGUAAUUAUUUGUUUUAAACACCCCAAAACCAUCCCCAAUCUUCCCUAAUCCUCCCACACUCUGUCUUUCCUCCUCCGGCGAUCGGUUUUGAGAAGGAAAAAAAAUAUUAUAUGAAAUAUAAAUAUCUAAAUUGAGCAUAGUUCAAAAGGCGAAAAGCGCCUCCAGCGACUGGUUUCAGGAAAUAUAUGUUAAAAAUACAUAUAUUCCUAUAAAUCUAUAAUUACCUAUAAAAUCUAUAAAAAAAUACAAAUAAAUAUAGAAGUAUAGGAGGUGAAGGUAUAAUAGCAUUUUUUUUUAAAUAAAAAAACGAGUUUCGGUCAAAGGGGAGAAGAGGGAAAGGGAUUUUCUAAAAUCUAGAGUUUUGGGGAAAGAGCAUUAAAAGAUUUUAAUUUAACUUAAAGACUAGGGGAAAAAACGAAAAUAGUUUAAGUAUUUUUUUAAAUACAUCCAAUCAGGUAAUCGGACGGAUCUUUACCCAACCUGAUAAACCGCCGUGGAAAAAGCGCUUCUCCAGGAGCGCUUUAACGCUUAAAGCAUCGCCUUCAAAACUAUGGAAUUGAGUAUUUAAAAAUAUCUGAAUUAAGUAUAUAAAUAUAUGAAAUUUAUAUAUUUUUAAAUUAUUCGCAUUAGGGCUGAGGCAUGCCUAAGCGGCAGUGCGUCAGGUCAUAGCGCAUAACGCAAUCACGCAUUUGAAAGCUUGGAGAAAAUGGUACUCCCUAAAGAUUAAGGGGGUCUAAGAGUCAGGAACCUACAUACAAUUGCCUUAGCUACCCAAACAAAAAAACGGCUACAAUCUGAGGGAAGCAAUCAAUCCUGACUGGCUGGAUGCAGAUAAAAUAAAUAAAAGGGAGAGGCUUACAGAAGUUCAUAAUCAAGCCUGCUAUUAACUCUGCUCAAUGGAAAGAAUUAAUUUAGUCCAAAAAUCUCAUCGAUCAGUGCUUGGAUUGUAGGGCAGGAAAUCCUAUUAUCUGGAAAAUAAGGAAUGGAAAACAAACCCUGGGAAUAAUCAUAGAAUCUCUAAUAACUAAGGCUCUUAAAGACACGAUAGCAAAAGGCAUCUGGUCCCACUCCCAUAUGCCUACAAAAUUUUCAAUCAUCCUGUGGAAAAUUAAAAAUAGGCAGAUUAAGACCUUGCAAAUGUUAAAUGCUUGGGGGAUCCCAAUCCAGCAACAUGUCUCCUCUGUGGCCAGGAAGUUGAGAUAAUUAGUCACUUGUUUUUCAAUUGAAAUUACACCAAACACCUCCUCUUAAAACUCAUAAAAUUCCUCAACCAAGCCAUACGGAAAAUAUCAAAUUCCCCACCCCCAACACUCACAAAUCCAGACAUUAGAAUCGAGGAUAUAAUCGAGGCUUGCCAAAAAAUGACUCAUCAAUCAUCUCCAUGGGGCCUCCAUUGGAAUACAAUUGGAAGCCUCAUUUGGCACAUUCGGUCCAAAGGGAACAGAAGGAUGCGUCAACAUACUCUCAGACCUCCAUAAAUACUAUUCUUGGAAAUCAUCAAAGACUCAAACCUAUUUUUUAGAGUUGGAUUCUUUAAAAAUGAUUGUGGUUGACAAAUGGAGAUGACUACUAUUCAGGUUUAGGAGACAAACCUCUCGAGGCUUAGCUUUUAGUUACUUGAUCACUAAGAACACAAGCCAUAUAGAAGAAGGUCGACAGUGUGGGAAACCACUCUAUCAUCCCCAUCAUAUUUUAUUUCUUGUUCACUUGUAAUUUCAGGGUAUUACCCUUCAUUAUUAUUAAUGAGAAAUAUUUAAUGCUUGCAAAAAAAAGGGAUCAGUGCCUCAAAGGAAGUUUGCUUCACAUUCACUUGUUACCAGGUAAACUAGAACCUUCCAAAAACAGGAAUAGAUACCGAGUUCUAAUACAUGACAAAAUACCCAAAUAAUCAAAUAUCAUAGUUUACCUCGGAAUCAGUUUCUUCUUCAUCUACAACCCAUCGAUCAUCUUCUUCAUCUAACCAUGUUUCCUCAGUAGAUAGAGCCCGAAUUUUACUAUUAUCAUUAUCCUUGGAUGCUUGAAUCAGGGUAUCCAUCAGAAUGGGAUCUACAUUUCUCAGAAGUCUCCCUAGAUUUUAUUAUGCAUCUCAGAUCUCACCAAAACUGAACAGCUAAAAAAUUUAGACAUGAUCUUACAUCUUACAAUCUAAGGGUUAAUAGAAUCGAAAUAGUGAAAUGAUAUGAAAUAAACACAUUAUUGCAAGGUAAAAUUGAAAUUUAAGUAGUUAUAGGUAGAUGUAAUCCUGGAUAGCUAAAUGUAUGAUAAAAAAUUGAGCAUCAAACUAAAUAACUAAUUGCAGUUUAAAAGUGCAAUUUGGUUAAUAUUUUCAAGGGAAUGAUACCACAACUCUUCAGACUAAGCUUGGAAUUUAAUAUCCAAUGACAUUAAAUGUGAUAGCGUUAAGAUGUCUGAUUCUGCAAACAUUUUAAAUCACGCUUGUAUACAUAUUUAAAAAUGAUAAAACCAUGAUGAAAUCUCUAAACAUGAAACUCGUGUAAGAUAGGUUAAUAAAAUGUUCGAAAACAAAUUAAUAGAAUCAAGCAUCAUAAUGGAUGACACUGACCAACCUAUAAAGGCAAACUGUCUCCUCUUCCCUUCUCGAACAUCAGCCCCUAAUCUCUGAUAAAAAAACGAAAAGAAAAUGAAAUAAAUAUUAUAAGGUGAAAAACAAUGACGUUAAAAUGAAAUAAAGAGAGAUGAUCAGAACCUUAACAAGUAAGAGGGCAUCAUAAACCUCUUUGUCAAGAUAAGCAACCCUACAUCUCAAAAUAAGAACAUUAUAUGAGAAGCUAAUUGUUAGGCUUGUUACUAGUUAUUUGAUUUCCUUUUUCCAUUGAGAUGUCCGUCUAAAUAGACUAAAAUGUCUGUACAAUACAUUAACUACAAUCAAGUUGAUUGUCUAUAGGUUACUAACAAUAUUUUAGAAUUCGUUCCGUUUCCACUAUAUCCAUUAGAAAUAUUGAAUAAAUAUCCAACCUUUUACAAAAUUCCACGCAAGAAAUUGUUAUCUUAUAUCCAUACAAACAGUAGUACUAGAAAAAGAAAAUAGUAAUACCUCAGAACUUUCUUGAUCUGAGAGGGAGUAAAAUCAGCGAGAUCCAUCGCCCAUUUCACCGCCUUUCGCGCCUCCCUCUUUUUCUGAUUCUUACUCUUCUUCUCAACCCUGUCCGAUUCCUCACCGGAAGAUCCGGAAUCGUCAACAUUUACGAUAGCCAAAGAAGCAUAACUAGCACCGUGUCCCCGAGUUCCCAAACUCUGCCGCCCGAACCGAUUUCUAGCAGAAAAACCAAACGUCGACGUCGCAUACAAUGAUAAUGAAACCCGUUGCUUGGGAGUUAUGGUGGAACGGCAGGAAUUGUGGAGCAGGGAAACGGUGCAGAUUGUGGAAGGAGAGUCGUGAGAUAUGAUUAGUGAGGUAGCAGCAGAAGAAGACUUCAAUAGACGUGACCACUGCCUCACUGGUGCCGUGGUCGCCGCCGCGACAGUGACAACGGCAACAGUCAUCGCGAUUUCAUUUCCCCAGAACGAAUGGGGGGAGAUAAAUCAUAAAUGGAUAAUGGAAUUUAGAAUGGGUAUGGGUCCGAUUUGGCUCGGUUUCUCGAAUUCAGGUUAAAUUAUAAAACCCGAAUCAAAUUUGGAUGUUGAUCUGAUCCGGGUUUGUUAAAUAAAUUUAAAAUUUUGUAUUAAAAUCUUUGUUAUUUAAAUUAUUUGAUUAAAUUAUUUUUAAAAUAUUAAAUAAGAUAAAACAUUAAAUAAUUUUUAAACGAAAAUAAAAAUGUUAAGAUAGUUAGAGAAUAUGACAAGGAGAGAAAAGAUAAAAAUGAAAGAGAAUAUACAGAGAAAUGAUAAUAAUAUUAUAGUUUAGAUUUUUUUUUUUUUUUUUAAAAUUAUUUAAUGUGUAUGUUAAAUUUUUAUUUUUAUUUUAAGGUUUUUUUUAUAAAUUUUUUUAGAUUUCGGGUGAGUCAGGUUUGGUUCAGGUAUUUUAUCCGAACCCGGGUCGAAAAAAUCAGAUGAAAAAAAUUCAAGUUUGGAUUCUUAAUAUCGAUUUUCAUAAUCGAAAAUAUCCACCUAAACCCAAAACCGACAUGUUAAUCGGGUUCGAAUUUGACUCAAACCAUGUUCACCCCAAAUGAAAUGGAAUGGAAUCGUUGUUAAAAGGGACAAUUCUAUUUCAGUCCCUGUCAGUUAGAUUAAUGGUAAAAAAUUCCAAAUCAAUUAAAGUGGCAAAAGACCCAACCUAAAAUAAAAAUUAACACGAACUUUAUCCAGUAACCUUAUAAUGAUUAUGAUCAAUUGGAGUUAUAUCUCAGCCUAACAUUUAUUUUGUCAUUUUUAGUUUUUACCAUACCAUGAAUUCAAUUCUUGUUGAAAAUAUUUUUUUAAAUGUAAAAUUAUCAAUACCAAUUGAAAUUUCUUGCUGUUUGCAAAAUUGCAAACCUCGAGAGCACAAUGUGUGAUAUCUGUACUAGGUGACCUACACGAUGAACCCGAUUGUGUUUUCGUGUAUUAAAAAUUUAUGUUCUACAGCUAUUCAAUUAGUAAGAAAAAGAAAAUAUAUAAAUCAAAAGUCGAAACAUACGUGCAAAGCUCUAACAUAUCAAGAAAUAAGUGAGACAGACAAAUACCCGCUUUAUUUUAUGGGCAUAAAUAACAGAUAUUGCAGACGUCCAUUCAAAAAUUGCUUUGGCUUUGAAGUUUGAAGGACAAAUAAAAAUUACCUAAAUGGAGAAACCAACAUCAUCCACUAAACGCAAAACAAAUAAACAAGUCAUAAAAUAAAGAUGGAUAAAGCUCGGUCAAAGUGUAAGUGGUCAAUUUACUUAAGGUCCACAGCUAGUUAUUACCUCGAGUUCUCUGCACAAGACAUAGAAGAAGAGAGAAGGCGCCCAUGUGAAAAAACAGAGCUUUCGAUUGGACAAAACUCACAAACAUUAAUCAUCAAUAUGGCAUUAAAAAUUUUAAACCAUAAUAUUGAACACGAUUUUCAAAAACGCCAAACAACAAUUAACAAAUGGAGAAGAUAGAUAUGUAGAUAUUAUGUUCCCAAGAAAAAAACAAAGACAAACAUGACCCACAACACACAGACAACAGAGAACGGAGUACAUUAAUUAUUAAUCAAGUAUUACACGGAUAAGAACAAUAAACACUGCCAGGUAAAUGUUAUUGAUUCUAGAUUCUUAAUAAAGAAUAAAACACAUUAUUUAUAAUGAAAUAUGAUAGUGCAGCGUCAAUAUUAAGCAAGAAAAAGAAAUGACAGAAUAAUAUCGAUAUAAAUAUAAGAGAAUAUAUUGUGAGAACAAUACUAAUAAUAAGUUUUUAACAGUGAGAGCUACAAGAGUUUCAACAAAAACAUGUAUAUGACAACCUUAUCACAACCUGUUCCCUUUCCCUUCCUUUCACUACUCCACUGCACGACCCGAUGAGACCCAAAAAAACAGAACAAACCACGAACCGACCGGUAAAACAGAGACAACCGGCGACGAUAUCAUAAGAAACGCAACUAAAAAACACUACCAGAUUCAAAAUAACAAAACGAUUAGAGUCCAUCGUUAAUAAAGAUAGAAAAUGAAGGCUUUACUUCAUAGCCGAACAUUCUCUGGCGAAAUGCCCUGGCUCUCCACAGUUAUAACAUGCACCACCUCCCCCACCACCUCCACCACCACCAUAUCGACCACCGCCUCCGCCUCCACCAUAACGUCCACCACCGCCGCCACCUGUAGGGCAUUCUCUAGCCAUAUGACCUUGUUCGCCACAGUUAUAACAACCACCGCCGCCGCCACCCCCGCCAUAACCUCCACCACCGCCACCGCCAUAACCACCACCGCCACCGUAACCACCUCCACCACCAUUUCUACCGCCGCCUCCGCUUCUGUAUCCUCCACCUCCACCAUAGCCUCCACCUCCUCCGCCAUAUCCGCCACCACCUCCGUAUCCACCACCACCUCCACCACGUCCACCGUCACCCUGAACCGAAGCACCAUCGGGACCAGUCACAUCAACGGCUUUGGUCCUUCCGUCAUCACCCGCGGAGACGACAAACUCAACAGACUCACCUUCGGCGAGCGAUCUGUAACCAUCAGACUUGAUAGAGGACUGAUGGACAAAGAGAUCCUCGGAUCCAUCUUCAGGAGUGAUGAAUCCAAAACCUUUGGUUCCAUUGAACCACUUAACAAUACCCUUCGAUCUCACCUCCGACAUGCCGAAACUUCACAAACCCUAAAACAAAGAAGGGAAAAAAGUCACAGGAAAGAGAGCAAGAGGCGCAGUGGGUCUCUGUCGUGGUGUGGAUGACUAUAUAUAUAGUUGUGGCAGGGUAGUAUGUUAGGCAUCGGUCGCCACAUCAGCAGGUAUACACAUUGGUUUUAGGUAAAAUAUCAGAUCUAACGGCUGGGGAUUUGCGUUGGGUAAGGAACAGGUUGCCGUUGGAUGUAUUAGGGUUACUGUUAUAAGCAAAAAUGGUCGGUCCUGGAUUUAUCUUAUGUUUUAAUCUUUUUUAAAAUACUUUUUUUUACAGUCAAAGAAAAAACUUGGCAGUUGACAGUUAACACUGCCGAAAUAUCGAGUGUUGAUAGGCCAUUAUUAAUUUUUUAUUAAGGAAAGUGUUAAAGUGGGAAAGGUUUUAUUCUCUGGAGAUUUUUUUUAUGGAAUAAAAAAAAUAAAGUUGUAUUUCUUUUCUGUUUUUCGACAUUGACAAUUAUGAAGUGAUGAUAUUGUUGAUUGAACGGUAAUUUUGAGUGAGUCUAUUUAUUUGGUUUACCUGCUAAUUACAGAAAUUGUAAUUUAGAUUUAGUUUUGAAGGUAAAGGAUAAGUUUUUAAGAAUGACUCAUUUUAAGACGGUCAAGAUGGGACCUAUCAAUUUUAUUGUUUAUUCCAUUAUGGAUAGCCCGUUCUUAACUGAUAUUAGGGGUGAUAUAACGGCCCUGGUAUCACUUGCACGGUAAGACGACCCAACUAAAAUUAUUUUAAAAAAUAAAUAAAAAUAAUAAUAAAACGGGACGACCCGUCUGGGGUUCACCCUGCACCUAGACUCGCCUCGGAAUAUGAUCGGGGUAACUGGGCAAAAUUUUAAAACAAGACAGAAUACCCUGGUUCUCACCCCUAACUAAUAUAUUUAUUUUAUUAUUUAAUGGUUUGACGUCAACUCAUCAAGUAAUUCAUAGGUUGAAUUAAGGGUGAGAACGAGACGGGUCGCCCCAGUCCCGUUUCGUGCCCCGGUGGUAACCGGGGACGAGACAGAUAUUUUGCCCAGUUACCCCCGGUCAUAUUCUGGGACGGGUCUCGUCGCCCUGAUUUUUUAAUAAAUUAAAUUAGAUAUAGGAUUAUUAAAAUUUUAUUACAUUUUAAAGAUUAAAUCUUAUUUCUUAAACCUUAUAUUCAUUUUAGAUUUACUUUUUGUUUUUACUUUUAAAAGUUAGGGUAAAAAGUUUAUUUAUUUUAAAUUUUAGGUUUAUUUUUUUAAUUCCAGGCGGGUCGUCCCGGAUCCGCCCUAUUCCACGUCCCGGUCGCCGGGUCCCGAGGCAAGGGAGUAGAAUACCUGACCCGUCCUGUUCCAUGCCCCGUUUUCCAGCACAGGGCGGAUACGCGAGCCGCCCCGUUCUCACCCUUAGGUUGAAUGUUUUAGAGAUACACUACCAGUUCCCUGAGGAGUGAACAUAACCAUUUGAGUUCAGUUGUGACGUACGCAUUCGCUCUGUACUCGGCCUUCGCACUCGACCGCGAGGCCGUCAGUUGUUUCUUCGACAUCCAGGCCACCGGAUUUGGUCCUAGGAAUACGCACGACCCUGUGGUGGGGCGUUUGUCAUCUGGAUCACCUACCCAGGCCGAGUCUACUAGAAUGUUUCAGUCUGUUGAUGGCGAUUUGGUGAAGAGCAGUCCGAAGUCCAUUGUUCUUUUGAUAUAGCGGAGGAUUCGUUUGGUCGUCUGCCAAUGGGUUGUCAUUGGUAUCUGCGUAAAUUUGCAGACCUGAUUGAUGGCAAACGCGAUAUCUGGCCAUGUGAUGCUCAGGUAUUGUAGUGCUCCGACCAAACUUCGAUAGAGACUUGGGUCUUGGAUAGGUGUUAAUCCAGAGUUAGCCGAUAGGUGUGAGCCUGGGAUGGACGGCAUGGACACAUGUUUCUGUUGGAUCGUGAUCUAAGGCUAGAGGGAGGGUUAAUAGCCUCUUUUCGAUUAAUGCAAAUUAUAGCGGAAGAUCUGCAAAAAUACUUAAAGAAUAUAAUAACAAAGGAUAACAAUAAUAAUAAUAAUAAUAAUAAUAUGAUAUUGUUAGCAAUAGUAUAUUAUUGUAUUUCAAAAAAUAUCAGUUAAGAACCCCUCUUUUGGGUUCUUACGUGAGAACUUAAUCUAUGCCUUUCGUUUUUUCGGACCAAUCCUCACCGUCCGUGAUUUACUUGUUGCAACAGGUCAUUCUUUCUCCAUUUUCUCAAUUAAUUUAUUCAAAUUUCAUUAAUGUUUCCUUCACUCACGUAACAUUCCAUUUAUGACAUUGUUUGAUUUGGAAUUUUUUUUUAAAAGCUGUCAACAUUUUCCAUUUCUACCUUUCUAUCAAACAUUCCAUUUUUGCAUCUCCUUUUUCAUUUUUUUCUCCUCGCGUUCUAUCUCCCUCCCCUGCCGGAUUUUUCCAGAUUUUCUUCCUCCGUCCCCCCUCCUUCCCUGUCAGAAUGUUUAUCGAUUUCUGCUUAUAAUUUAUUUUCUACCUCUACACUCUCUCUCUUUCCCUCCAUUUAAAAUUGUUUCCAUCUACCUCUUUUCUAAUUUUCUGUUGUUGAUUGCCAAAUCUCCCUCUACAAGAACUUUUCUUACAUUGAAUGCUUAUUUUCUUCCUCCAUAGCAUAUAAUGGUUUCUCCAACAUCAUUUGGCAAUCAACAUCGACCUACCAGCAUGCAAGUUUCCCCCAACACCAAUUCAAUUUUCGUGACCCCUCCUCCAUAUCGUUCACAACAGUUUACAUACGAUCACACAAAUACAUCUUGCAACGUUAGCUUGAAAUUUCAUUUUAAAUCUCCUCAAUGUCAGACAAAUGCCAAUACUAAACCUUCUAACGUUGAUUUUUCAACGCACUUGGAUCCUGAUGCCCCUUCUAGCAACAUUGUUCAGUCAGAUUUUGUCCAAUGCACCUCUGUUGAGAUUAAGGAAUCCUCCGCUAUUAUGAGUUACGGAACUGCUAAAAUACCAAAUAAUAUGAAUUACCAAUUCAAUUCUCCUCAUUGUCAGAACACUGUUAAUCCUAUAGAUUUCAGUGUCAAUGUUUCUCGUUUCUUGGAUCCUGAUAACGUAUGCAACAAUUUUUUUGAUUCAGAGUAUGUUCAAUCCGCCUCUGCUGAUAUCGGGGAAUCCUCUGUUUAAAUUUCUGCUAACUCCGUUAAUGUAAGUUGCAGAACUGCUAAAACCCCUGACAAUCAUUUAAAAAGAAAAUUUUCCUCUACUGGUGGAUAUCCAACAUCUCCUAAUCAUGAAAAUGGAUCUUCUGGUUACAGUCAAUCCAGUAAACCAUGUCCUAUUGUAGGUGAGGUUUUUCCUUCGUAUGAAAUGGUUGUUCAAUCCUACUACGAUUUCGCAUCGUCUACUGGAUUUUCUGUUCGUUUAGGAUCGACGAAGAAUAUAUUGGACAAAGAAACUGAUCAAAAAAUUCUUUUAAUGAAAAGGUUAUUGUGUUCUAAACAAGGCAGUCCCAAUUUAAUACUUCCAUCGACCCACGGUACUAGACGGAAGAACGGUGUUUUUAGAUGUGGUUACCUGGCAAGUAUCAAAUUUAAAAGAAUAGACAUGUCUGAUAAGUGGGUCACUGAUUCUGUAAAUUUAGAUCAUAAUCACUCAUUUACCACCCACUCAAAAAUUCGAUACCUUCCAAUAAAUCGGUCAAUAUCUCAUACUUCCAAAAUACUUUUUUCAUCCUUAGCUGAUGUUAAUGUUCCAGUAUCACAGCAAGCUGUCUAUUUCUCUAAUCAACUUGGUGGACCGGAAAAUAUGGGUUGCAUGACAUUGGACAUCAACAAUAUGGUUCGUGAUGAUCGCAUAGAUCUGAAAAAUUAUGACGUCCACUUGAUUGUAGAGGAAUUCGAAAUAAAGAAGUUAGAAAAUGCGCAAUUCUUUUAUGAUCUUGUAAAAGAUGAUGAAGGUCGUUUGAAACACCUCUUCUGGGCCGAUCCUACUAUGAUUGAAAAUUAUAAGUUAUUUGGAGACUCCAUUACUUUCGACACGACCUAUAAGACCAAUGUUUAUUCCAUGGUGUUCGGCAUGUUCUGCGGUGUCAAUCACCAUCGGAAGACUACAAUAUUCGGUAGUGUAUUUUUAAGGUAUUUCGUUCAUUCAUUGUAAUGAAUCCUUCUCAUUUUUGCUUCAUCUUUAAACCUUUAUUUUCGCAUUAAAUCAUUUUUUUUUGGUUUAUCUGUGCAGUAACGAAAACGUAGAUGUCUUUACAUGGCUAUUCAAUACUUUCAAACAAUGCAUGGGUCACCCUCCUCAAUUAAUUAUUACAGAUCAAGAUUUAACAAUGAAAGGUGCAAUAUCUCGUGCUUUUCCAGAAUUGUCAUUGACACAUAACCAACAAAUUGUCUACCAAGGUCCCCACAGUAUGUCAGAAUAUCAAUUCUCUAAACAUGUUCUACAAAAUUAUUAAAUUUUCAGAAACUCCUAAAGAUUUUGAAGACUCAUGGUCUCUUUGGAUCACAGAGAGUAAUGUGUCCUCAAAUGUAUGGUUGAAAAGUUUAUACGACAUCCGUUACUCAUGGAUUCCAUGUUUAAUGUGUUCACAUUUCUUUGUUGGAAUACAUUCUACCCAAAGAAGCGAAGGCAUGAAUUCUUUCCUUAAAACCAAAGUAACAGCUAAGAAUCUACUCUUUAGCUUCGUUCGGCGAUACCAAAAUAUGAUAAAUACCAUUCGCGAGUCCGAGAAUUUGGACAAUCACAAAGAUACAUUUUGGCACCCAAGAUUUAUUACAUCUAUGGACAUUGAGAAAAACGCUCUGAGUUUUUUUACAACUUCUAUUUUCCUUCUUUUUCAAGAGGAGAUGCGGAAAAGCUUCUUCUACCAUAUAUUACCACCGAAUGACCAGUCCUCCGAGGUACGGUUUUUUUUCUCAUCAUUGUUUUAAAAUUUCGUUUUCUUCCCAUCAAUGUCUUUCUAAAAAUUUUCUUCUUAAAUCGUAUAGGAUAUUCAAUAUCUACCUGUUCUUUCUUUAGAAAGACAGACUGUGUUAUUCAAACUCACUAUUACGAAAGGGAAUUCUACACCGACUUGCUCAUGUCAUCGAUUUGAAUUUAGCGGGGUUCCAUGCUCUCAUCUUAUACAUUAUCUUAUUGUCAACGGUUACCGUAGUUUACCAAACGUUUUAAAAAUGCCGAGGUGGAACAAACUAUGCCUGACGAACAGAAUUUCUCCAUCUCUUCCACCACCUGACAAUCCAUUGUCUAAGUAUGUUGUAAUGUCGUAGACAUUGAUGAAUUAUGCUAAAAUGGGACAACCUCAACUUGAUAUACUACUCAAAUAUGGUGAAGAGGUUCUUCAGAAACUCAGCGAAACUGUAGUUGUUCGAAAUUCAUAUUCUAGAACAUCAAUCAUAAGAACUAAAAAACCUAGGAAUACACCAGUGAUAAUUGCCCCUCCGCCCAAGGUUAAAACUAAGGAUAGUGGUAAGAGCGGAAGACCGACCAAAAUUGAUGCAGCGCGAAUGAAGAGCGCAAAAGAAAUAUAUCGCGAUCCAGCCGCUAGGAAGAAAUGAUCUGUCUUCUCUUCUUUUAUGUCUAUAACAAUUUAUUUUAUGAAUCAGAAACAUCCACAUUUUAAGCACUUAGUCGUUAUCCCUUUUCUCCGAACUUCCAUAAUAUCUAUUGUUCUUCCGCUAAUUUCUAAUGUUACUUAGGUAGUACACAUUGUGUUUCUGUUAAUAUGUAGUUUUGCUAUUAUGACUUUCUGUACUGAUAUAUUUUUGUGUGCUUCUGAUACCACUGUGUUUCACUACUUUGUUGUAUCCCUCCGCUAUUAUGGUGUUACGCUACCUUGUAGUAUACGUCCGCUAUUUUAACCACUUACGUCGUUAUCUCUUUUCUCCGAACUCCCAUAAUAUCUAUUGUUAUUCCGCUAAUAUCUAAUGUUACCUAGGUAAUGCAUAUUGUGCUUCUGCUAAUAUGUAUUUUUGCUAUUAUGACUUUUUGUACUGAAAUGUUUUAGUGUGCUUCUGAUACCACUGUGUUUCGCUACUUUGUUGUAUGCCUCCACUAUUACUGUGUUACGCUACCUUGUAGUAUGCGUCCGCUAUUACAGUAUUACACUACUACGUAGUAUGCCUCCGCUAUUACGGUAUAACGUUACUAUGUAGUCUGUCUCUGCUAUUACGGCAUUACGCUACUUUGUAGUAUAACUUCGCUAUUACUGUGUUACGCUACUUUUUAGUAUUCCUCUGCUAUUACUGUGUGACGCUACUAUGUUGUGUGCCUCCGCUAUUACGUGAUUACGCUAUUAUGUUGUCUGCCUCCGCUUUUACGGUCUUACCUGACAAUCCAUUACUGUGUUACGCUACUAUGUUGUGUGCCUCUUCUAUUACUGUGUUACGCUAUUAUGUGAUGUGCCUCUGCAAUUACGGUGUUACGCUAUUAUGUAGUACUAUUACGUUGUUACGCUACUAUGUACUAUAACUCUGCUAUCACGUUUACCCUACUUUGUAGUAUGCCCCUGAUAUUAUUGUGUUACGCUACUUAAUAGUAUGCAUCCGCUAUUACGUUCUUACGCUACUUCGUAUUAUGCUUACGCUAAUAUUGUGUCACGCUACUAUGUAGUCUGCCUCUGCUAUUACGGUGUUACGCUACUAUGUAGUAUGCCUCUGUAUUGCUGUGUUACGCUACUUUAUAGUGUGCCUCUGCUGGUACGGUGUUACGCUACUCAGUAGUAGGCCUCCGUUGUUACGUUACUAUUUAGUACAACUCUUCUAUUACGGUUACGUUACUAUGAAGUAUGCCUCCGUUUUUACGUUCAUACGCUACUAUAUAGUAUAACUCUGCUAUUACGGUUACACUAUUAUGUUGUAUGUCUCCGCUAUUACGGUGUUACUACGCUACUAUAUAGUGUGCAUCUGUUAAUAUUGUCUGGUAUACUUCUUCUAUUAUGUAAUGCGUUUCUGCUAAUAUCUGCACUUAGCCCAACACGCUUUUAUCUUUCUGCCAAUAAUUUCUGUUUUAAUCAUUCUUUCGAUACAUCUGUUUCAAUGUGUCACAAGCAUUGUAUAAGCAAACAAUAUGUUUAAUUUUUGCAAAAAGUAUAUGAGUACUUAGACUAAUAAUUGUACUUGAAACUGUAAUUGUUAAAUAUGUGAGAGUCUCGCAACGCCACUCGCAGUAUGUUGUGGACAAUUUUUUCCCUAAUGUUGUCGACGUCUUUUUUGCUCCAAAGUACAGGUUCACCAAGACAUAUGCAUUCCAUGACGGCCAUUACGUAUAUCUCUAUAUCUUCUGGAUUUUUAAUGAAUGCCUGCGGAAAAUAUGGAGCUGAUUCACAAACCCAGGUAGACAAGUUGUGGUCUGAAUAAAUUCCACGGAUGUAGUGAUCCAACCACAGAGUCUGCAAAUUAAAUUACAAAGUAGCAUUAAAUUCUUACACAGUUUGAUUUCAAAGAUUUAUCAACCACGUGUUUAUUCACUUACUAUAUUCUUGUUCUGCUUGAUCAUGUCCUCGUUGUCUUCGUAGGGAGAACAGUGGAUGUACUUCUUCUUUGUUAUGUCUAACUGUAUCAAAUGUCAAUAACCGUAUAUUUCAAUGAACGCUAAUAUUGUAUGGAUCAUUUUCCAUUUGUCUACUUUUUCACUUAAAAUUUCAUUCAGCUCGGCAAAUUCCCUCAUGUUCAAGUUUUUGUUUAGAGUUAUCCCUUUGAUUUUUUUCUAUGUAAAAGAAAAACCUAAGUCAUGCAUGAAAUAGUAUUUAUAUUCAAAGGUUAUAUUAACAAAAAAAUAUUACCAUUUUUAUUGGGUCAAUGAAUUUGACUGAAUGUGCGAAUAAUCUGCGAUCUGCCAUUUUACGGCGGAGAACUCUUAUGAACAUUGAGAUGCACUGGAAAUACGAACAUUCAUAUUAUUGUUUUUUUUAAUAAUUAUAUCUGAAAUUCUUUUUACUUACGUGGCUUCGUACGGGAGCCCUGGCGAGUAAUCCAAUUACCCACGUAGAAUCACAUCUAACGUUACCUAUUUCCAACAGACCCUCUUUUGCUGCAAUUUCUUGUAAUUUACAACUCUCCUUAACGUCCCGUACAUUCAUCCCAGCCCUGGUAAUGUGGUUCUUCUACAUCUUCUCUUUUAUUAUCCUUUCCAUAUUAGCCUUCUUCACGUCUUCCUGUAGCAUUGAUUAUUAAUUUUGGUUGAAGACCAACGUAUUUAGAAUUUAGGUCGAAGAAUAAUGAAACUUACAUGUCUUUCUAUGAUCCUUUUGACAAGAGAACUAGGUUUGUUUUUGUUCAUCUGUACGGAGAUUGGUUCAUUAUCCAACCUAUCUUCUUCUGAAGACAGAUCGAUGAUCUUCGUUGGUGUACUAAAAAUUGAUUCGUUUUCCGGUUGACCAUAUGCUCGAGACGUUAGGCGACAAGCCUCCUUUAUAAAUGUAGGGUCCUCUUGAGAAGACAUAACAAAGUCCGACACAAUUCUUUUAGCACCUACAAGAAUUUUUCAGAGCACAUAAGCUAUAUUCAUUGUUAUUUUGCUUAGUUGUUAUGGACAUUACCGCUAGUCGAAGGUAUAUUCUCAUGCUCAUUCACAACUUCUGGUGCAUCCAUAUCCAAAUCCGGAAAGUCAAAAGAUAGCUUGAUAGAUGAACCUACAUAAGGCUUCCUUGUAUUGAAAGUAUCUGAAUACAAACAAAAUUAUUGUUAGUUUUUAGUUCCCUUUAGUCUGAAAAAUUGAAAUACAAAUAAUACCAUCAUCAGUUAGGUCUAUGGGAUUCUCCGUGAAGUCCUCUGUAUAAUCCCAUACACUUUCACUCUUAACUUUUACAAACUUAUACUCAGAUAUUAUCGGAUUUGAAUAUAAAUAUUCUACCUCCUCCGAACUCUCGCUUUCAUCUCCGCUAACUACAUUUCUUGAUAUUAUUAUUAAUAUUCCUAAAGAAGGACUACAAAUACUAACUUUACGUAAUGUACACUACUUGUAAAAAUUUAUGUUUACCUUCGAUAAUUAGCAUAUCUUUCUCAUUUUCGUCUGACGAUACUUUUUCUUUUAUUUUCUUAUCAGUGACUACAACAUCUGGAGAAAAAAAAAAUUCAUGUUCGUGUUAGAUACUUCGUUACGUAUGUAGUCAUGCAGAAAAAUAUUUUUCGAUUUAAACAUUUUCGUGUAAUACAAUUAUAAGACAAUGUUCAAUAAUUAACAGUACGAUGUAUCACAUUAUCAUACUGACAUGUCAUUUUAACAGACUAUAGUAGAAUACUAUCAAUUAUAGGAUGUAGUUCAUAUAAUAGCAGAACGCUUAUUAAUUUUAACAUUGACAGAUCUUGAAUUUAGAGAUUACCUUAAAUAACAUAACCUGCUAUUCAAUAAUUUCAAACAUUUCACAUGAAUUGGAAAACAUUUUUCAACAAGAACAAUUGUAUUAUAUCAAAUGAUUAUCGUAAUAUCAUACUAUUAGAAUAUUGUAGCAGAGAGUAGUAUUUGUAAUAGCGGGCAUGCACUUGUUUGUCAUGCAUAUUUCUUCCGCACAUGAUUUUCUAAUUUUUUUUUGUUUUUCGUUCAUUAUCAUUUCUUGUCAUCUUGCGCCGCGUACCUUCAACGGUCUUCACCUCUGCGGCACUAGUAGUGUUUUUCGCUCCGUUCUUCUCCUCCACUUUUUGCCCUGUCUUUAUGUUUUCAUCUGCAAAAAUUAAUUCUCCAUUAAACUAAGUUUUCAGUGUCAUUCACUAGAAUUUAAUUGCCAAAAAAAUAUUUCAUACCUACUAUGUACAAUACCAGGAUACAAUCCUCUUUCUAUUUCCCAUGCUUCGUAGAACUCUUGUUUGACUUGAAUAGUAGCCUUUUCUUUAUAUGGUGGCUUGUGGCCAACGUAAGUCACCUCACAAUCUUCAUUACGGGUGUCGGGCAUUCUUGGCUGAAGUUCAUAUUAAAUGUUGGGAAUUCGAAAUUUGGAUCUUCUAUUGUACUAGACUUCUUUUCAGCAUCUUCAACUGUCUCAUCAGCACAUUUUUUAUCCAUAUCAGACUUUCUUUCAUUUUCAUUUUGUUCGGAGGCCGCCGCUUGGCUUGGUUCGUCAGUUCCAACAUUUGAAAAAAUAUUAGCACAACCUUGAACUUCUUUAGCAGGACUAUCUUCUUUGAUAUCAGACUUAGACCUAUCUUCAGCAUUACUUUUUUCUUCAAUAUCAGACAUAGGUCUACCUUUAGCAGGAAUGUCAGUAAUAGGCAGAUGUUCAUUUCCAACUUCUGUCGCUUCGCUUGUUUGAGCAUUUUUGGCCUCAUCCAUCUCACCUGUAUUGUUCUUCAUAUUUAAUGUAACUUCAACCGGAUCUUCAACUAGCUGAAGCUUCUUGUUGCUCACCUCCAUAACUAUAACAUAUUUUUCAAGCAAUUUCUUAUUGUUUUCCUCUAAAUAUGAAAUUUAUGAUUAGAGAAAAUGUAAAAAAUAUAAUCAUUUUCACUAAUUAGAUAUACUUACUAUCAGGAGAAAUUCCAGAUGAUGUCCCACUAGUGGUCGACAGCCUACUGCUACGUCGUAAUGUGACUGACUCCUUCAUUGGUUUCUUUUUCUUUGGCUUCACAGAUUUCUUCGCAUUGACAUUUGUACCAAAUAUUUCCUCGUACUUAGCUUCAACCUCAGCCUUCUGUUUCUCUCUUCUAUCAAGUACGAUGUUCAUUCGCCCAGUAGAAUGCCGUGUUAAUGUCUUUUUCUUAGAAUCAUCCAUCAUUACAACUUUCCCUUUCAACCUCCUCCUUUUGGCAGAUUCUUCUGAUUCGCUCUCUUCCGACCUAACUUCCUCUUCAACCGAUUUCGACUGUGAGUCAGUACCAUGAUUUCCAGUUGAUGAACUAGAACCAGUUCCUGAAAUAGGAUAUGCUUUUUGUCUUAUAUUCAAUCUCUUUUCAAAAGAAAUAUCCUCAACAAAAAUCUAAGAAAUGAAGCAUAUUAAAUUAAAAAAUUAUUCAGAAAUUCACUAAACGGUUUAAUCAUGAUAAACAUGUAUCUAUACUAGUUACUUGUUCGGGAAAUAUCAAAAUAUUAAAUUAUGUACAAGAGACUAAGAUAACAAUAACUUACCUCAUCAUCUUCUAGAAGGUCUAGCUUUUCUUUCAAGUAAGUAAUUGGACCUCCCCACUUCAUGUCAUUGGUUUGUUAUCGAUAUAGGCACUGUAUGGAGACGCAACCAUCGUGUGUUUGAACAACCAAACCUGAAAAGAAAACAUUUAUCAAAUUUUGGUCAAUUAUUAACAUUUAUUAACAAUAUUGACAAGUAGAAAUUUUUGUUCAAUAUAUACCAUUAGGCACAUGACGCAGCCAUCUAUGUAGAGUUUCGAUGGCUCGUUUGUUUGUUUCCUGUGUACGACGCUGUCCCUGCACAUCUCCAUACGCUCGAAGAGCACACCGUGUAGGAAUGCAGCCCAAUUAUACUCGUCAAAAUAUACUAUGUUAGAAACAUAAUCCAAGAAUUUCCGCCCAAUGCGGUAACUGUUCUUACAACAAAGUACUGUAAUAAAUAAAUAAAUUGUCCAUAAUCUAAUCAAAUCAUCUACAUCAGUCUUUGACAAGGUUUCAAUCGAGGCCUUCUUGUUGAUUGUUGUAAUGGCCUGGACCACCACAUUCCUUCUAAUGUCACAAUCUGAACUAAAAUGUCUCAAGGAUCAAUCAGAACUACUCUUGGCCUUCUUCAUUAUCACGACAAGACCCGAUGAAGGAAUGCCGAGGAUUUCCCCAAACUCUUUCACCGAAAAUUCUAGCCUUUUACCAUUAAUAACAAAAAUAUUUUUUCCGACAUACCUUCCUAUUAGAUCGUCUAGUAGACGAGCCCUGAUUUUGAAAUCAGGGAUAGCAAAAAACUGACCGAAACAGCAUGACUUUAUUCAUUUACUUACAGUAUCGGGAAACAGUAAUAAUCCGGUGAGCGCAGCAUCUAUGUAGGUGGGUAUUCUAAAUCGAUGACGAAUCAAGUGGUUUACUAUAUUUUCCAUAAAUAAAUCGAAUUAGCAACUAUUAACUACUCAUAUAAUAACUUCAAAAUAUAUAAUGCUUAACUGUUCGCCUCCUCACGAUCACCCUUGCUAAUCCUUGCUUUCUUUUGCCUCGAUCUUCACUUGUGGUCUUUCAUCAGAAGAAGAUGGCAUCUUUUCAGAUACAUGAUGCUUUGUAGCAGACCUAGAACUCUUCUUCGUCCUAGACAUGGUUUCCCUUUCUCUGAUAAUCUGUCCCUUCUUAUCGUUCCGUAAUUCUUCUCUUUUAUCAGAAGAUUCAGACAAGUUAUCAGAAAAACAUAUUUUUUUAGCAGCAGAUUUCCCUAUCUUGAUCUUCGCAGAACCUUUCUUCUUAUUAUAGGAUUCCUUUGAAAUUUUAGCAGGCUCCAAUUCUUCUUCUUCGUGUUCAUCGACGUCUUUAACUACCGUCACUUUCUUCUUCCUAACAGCUUUAGUCUUCCUCUUUAUCCUUGAUUGGGACACGACGACAUCAGAAGGAUUUCUCUUUGCGUUUAUUCUCUUGCGAUCUUCCGCCAUCACCUUUCGCAAUGUCGAUUCGAAGUUCAUUUCCUUCUUCUUUGUUGAUUUCUCGUGAUUUUCACCUAAAAUAUAUAUAUAUUCCCAUCGUCAUACUUAGCAACCACUAGACAAAUAUUCUAAAAUCUAAACAUGUACUUACUUCGCUUCCUCUUGGAAAGAAUGAAUUGAUUUACAUCGGGUGAAGACUCCCUCUCUGUAUUCGACAAAGAGCAGUCGAUGUCCUUAAUUAGACUCUCUACCACGUUUUUCGCUCACUCGACAUCGCCCACUGCAUUUUUACACAAUUAUAAAAAAUUCCAACAUAUGUAAUCAUCAUCAAAAAUAGAUUUACCCGUAGAUUCAUUCUUUUUCGUUACUUUUUCCUUAUCAGACGACAUCAAUGACACUACAAAAAAAAAUUAUAGCAGUACAUAUACAUUUGUUAGCAGAGAGGGAUAUUCCUUCUAAAAAACAUGAAACAGAUGAUGAUAUUUUUAAAACUUAACAACAAUGUAUACAUAGAACUUAAAGACAAAGAAAAUAUAUAAUGACACCAAUGAAUCACUAACGAAAAAAAUAAAUAGAAAAACAGAAAUGAAAUAAAAAUAGACAAGAAAAAGAGAUACAACAAGACAAAAAUUAUAGCAGUACAUACACAUUUGUUAGCAGAGAGGGAUAUUCCUUCUACAAAACAUGAAACAGAUAUUGAUAAUGUCAAAACUUAACAACAAUGUGUACAUAGAAAUUAAAGACAAAAAACAGAUAUAAUCAAACCAAAGAAUCACUAUCGAAAAAUAUUAAUAGAAAAACAGAAAUGAAAUUAAAAUAGACAAGAAAAAAAGAUAGAACCUUUAGUCCACGCUACCUGUAGGAGAAAAACCAAAAUACACAACAACCACAUAAAAUUUUAAAUCUAGCAAGAUCUAAUAUAUAUAUUGGAAGACCUAGAUUUGCAAUGUAACUGCAAACAUCUAUUGGGGGAUGUUUUUGAUGACAUUACAAGUGUCGUCUAAACAACGUUUGGUUUUAGAUAUUCAACCAAAAAAAUUUAAGAAAAAUAAAUUGACAUAGUCAUACUAGGUUUCGAAAUCAUUUCGCAUUAAAAAAAACAAAAUUAGUCGACUAAUAGGAAGAUAGCGUCGGAGAUGGGUCCUUAACUAACCUACCGUCGGAGACUGCUGACGUACAGCGAGAGGAGAGACGCGAGAUGACACUGCCACCAGACAGCGUGCUGAGGACGAAACCGGGCAGCGAGAUGUGGAAGGAGAGGACUGCGAUAGUGUACGAGCCUACAGCGAAACGAGUGACGUCGAUCGUUGAAAAAAAUCGAAAGAAGAAGACGACGAUUUCCGGCCGGCAAUAGCUUGGGCAAUCGUCCGAAGAAGGGUUUAGGAGGUUUGGAGGGAUGGAACAAAAUUGGAAUGUUUGUUUUUGGAAACAAAUUUUAAUUUUGUCUUCUAGUACAUGCAAUCAAAGCUACUUCCUAGGCACAUUAAUGUACGGUAGUACUUUCCAAAAAUACAAUAAGCUAUUUAAAAUUUUUAAAUUACUACCCAGCCGGUUGCAGCAACCUAUUACAGCUUCAGCAGGUUUGUUGUUUUAAAAUUAGACGGCCAAGAUUGGUCCUAAAAAAGGACGAAUGAGAUGAAGAGGGGUUCUCAUGAGAACCCUUCUUAACUGAUAUACACCUUAUUGUAUUUUAUAAUAUACCGAAAUGACUUUUCUUUUAAAAUUUUCUAUAGUAUAUAAAUACUAAGUCAACUUAUCAGAUAAUAUUUUAUAAACAACUAUAGUAUAUAAAUACUAAGUUGUAUUAUAAACAUACGUUAUAUUAUACGUUAAAAUAUAUUAUAGAUGGUCAGUUAACUGGAUAAAGACUUUAACUUGAGUAAUAGUACUUUAUAAGCUAACUAUAGUAUAUGAAUAUCAAGUUCUCUUAUAAGCACAAAAGUUAUAAUAUAAGUUAAAGUAAAUAAAUAUAUAAAGAUAACUGGAUAAUAAAUUUGACUUAAAGUAACCUCAUGUAAUGACUAGAUAAUUGAAUGAGGGUUCUGCAAUAAAAUAGUCAACCUCGGUUUGUGACCAGAUAACUGGAUGAGGGAUCUCUUUGUUUCUUUUUAACUUAUUAAAAUAUAAAGAUUAGAAAACGAAAAUAAAAAUAAAAAGGAACACAAAGAAUUUAUAUUGGUUCAGUCUCAACCGACCUACAUCCAGUCUCGUGAUGUAGCCUCAUGAAAUUCACUUGUCUAGAGGUAUUGGCAAAAUCUAUCAGAGCUUUUACUAGGCUACAACGCUCAAGAACCUUGAAUCAUUUGCAAGUAGAUUCUAAAGGAAUUAGAGAGUUAAUUUCCCUAUACUAUGCAGGCAAAUAACCAUCUGUUUAGGACUUAAAACUAAUUAGCUAUUCAAGUAUACUAUGCAGGCAAAUAACCCAAGACUAGCGUGAGAUAUAAUAAAGGAACUUGAAGUUGCUAAUGCAAAAGUUUCAAUGAAGUUAUAAUCAAAUAUUAUCAUGAAAGCUUGGGAUAGAAGAUGCAAAAGUUUCAAAUAACAAUUGGGCUAAUUGACAAUUGGGCUUUAUGAUGGGCCAAAGUUAAUAAUAUUAGUAUUGUUAUUAUUGUUAAAGAUUAGUUAAAUGAUUAGCCUAAUUAUGUUAUAAAUAACCUUGUAAACAGAGAGUUAAUUAAUUGAAAUUACUCAUUGACUGAUUAGCUAGUUAAUUCUACUCUAAUCUUCUUCCAACGGAUUCUAGGAGAACGGUUAGUUCGAAGAACCCUAAAUCCGCCCCCCUUUCUUCACAUUAUCUUGCGAAGAUUGAUUGCAGACUGAAUCCGUCAGCCCCAAUCAAAUUCACUUCUGAGAAGCAUCCGUGCACCAUAUUCUAACAGAUUCCACAUAAGAGUUUUACCAGGAAACUCUAUAAAACCAACCAGAGCUUUUACUAGGCUACAACACUCAAGAAUCUUGAAUCUUUUUUACAGGUAGAUUCCACCUAAAAGUUUUACCAAAAAACUCUAUAUAACCAACCUUGAAUCUUUGCAGGUAGAUUCAACCUAAGAGUUUUACCAGGAAACUCUAUAAAAUCAACUUAGAGCCUUUUGGUUCAGCUCAAUAACCUCACACCUUGGUGAUGUUGAGAACAACCUAACUCGCACAACCAAAGUGGAACACACACGAAAAUGAUGUAAAAGUUUUGGACAACACUUCUACUUAACUUGGAUCACUUAAGAAGAUUAGAAGAAGAAAUGUAGAACUUUUUGAAACUUUGAGCAAAGAGCACUUGGACACAACCUUGGACGUUGGAAGUUUGAAAGCUUUGAAGGUGGUGAACUUGAGAGUGGAAAGGUGGAACUCAAAGUAGGAAUUUUGAAAGCUCUUGAAGUGUGGUAAUUAGUUUUGGCAAUGGGUAUACCCCUUUAUUUAUAAUGUUGGCCAACUCAUCUCCAUCAUUGGAUCUUGAUUAAAUGGUUCCAUGAUUCCUCACUAGAAUCCAAAAUGUGUUGGAGAUUUUUUCUUUCUUCAAUAAAACAAACUCUUGCAUUGAUAAAUCUUGCUCUUGUCUCCAAGAUGCAUAUUCUCAUCCCAUGUGAUAUCUUUGCCUAAGAAAAACACAUUUUCUUAUCCCAUGUGAGCAACCUAUUUCCUUAAUCAAAAAUAUUAAUUCAAACAUAAUCAAGGUUAAGUAAAUUAAUAAUAAUCACAUGGUAAGAAGUGUUGACAUGUUGACCACGAAUUAGGGUUUUGACUUUUGACUUAAUUUACACAUGGUUAAAUAAUUCUAGGGUUUAAUAUAAGCCUAAUUGAGAUUAGGUUUAAUUUAAAAUCAAAUCACCCUAUUAAGUAGUAAAGUCAAGAUGUUGACUUGUUGACCCUAAAUCGACUUUGGACUUUGUUUAAAAAUGGUCAACCAAUUCUAAGGUUUAAUAUGACAUAAUUGAGAUUAGGUUCAAUUCAAAAUAGCAAUUCACUCUGUUGACUAAUAACACGAUUAGGGUUAAUUAAACAUGAUUAUCAAUACAAACUAUGUAUCGGCAAUUUAGAUUCUACAGUUUCGACUCUGUCAUUUUGAACCUAUUAAGAAGAUCCAGUGAGUAUACUUCCUCUGCGUAAUUUUGGUGGACGUCGUUGUAGCCUUCAUCUCCCCAGUCUUAAGAAGUACGACAAUUGUCCCAAGUCUCUGCAUGGAAAAUGCUUGCAGACGGAGUCGAUGAAUUGUCUCACCUCUGUUUCACAGUCCCCUAUGAUGAUGAAGUCGUCAACGUAGAUGAGCACGUAGAUGACUCGCCCCCGAUAUCGUCUAAUGAACAAAGACGAGUCUGCUGUGGAGUUGAAGAAUUUGCAUCCCUGUAGGAACUCUUUCAAUCAUUGGUACCGGGCCCUUGGUGCCUGCUUCAUGUCGUAGAUCGCCUUCUGCAAACAGCAUACGUAUGAUUUGGCCGUUGUGGACUUCAUCGUAAACCCUGGGGGUUGCUCCAUGAAAACCGUCUCCAUUAAAUUUUCGUUUAGGAAUGCAUUGCAGAUGUCAAGAUGAUGAAGUUUCCACUGUCUCGAUGUUGCUAAUGCCAGAAUUGUCUGUAUGGUGGUCGACUUCACCACCAGACUGUAGGUGAGGUCGUAGUCCUCCCCGUGCUUUUGGUGAAACCCUUUGGCUACGAGACAAGCUUUAUAUCUGUCAAGUGUGCCAUCGAAGUUUUGCUUUAUCGGAACACCUAUCUGGAGCCAACGACAUUCAUCCACUGUUGUCGCGGAACGAGUCUCCAUGUAUUGUUAAUUUCCAGAGCUUCGAUUUCUUCUUUCAUUGCGAUUGUCCACGACGAGCUGGUUAACACUUCUUUGAUGGAGGUAGGUUCAGUUCCUCCGGUUAUCGACAGAUUGCAGGUGGGUGCGAUUGUCCGAUGAGCUGGAUUGGUGACGAAUGACUUAUGUUUCCGCACAUUCAGGGUAUGUGAUUGACUUGUCUGACCCACGUGUUCGAUUAGUCGCUCCAUCUAUUCGUGAUUUGGGGAACCCGAUCGAGUAUCGCUCUGCGGAUCCAUUCUUAAUUUGGGCAACCCGAUUUCAGAGUAGUUGGGGGACUCAGUUGUGUUUGAUUUCACAAUGGUAGCAGACAGAUUUUGACGCUCUGUGUUGAAUCCAGUAAUUUUUUCUCCCGAAGGCUAAUUUUAAAUUAUUUAACCAAAUUCAAUUUUUUUUCAAUCCAAUUAUUCUCGAUGAGGUGCCAUAUUUUGGUAUCGAUACAUAAUAUCGUCAUUACUAACACUAGAAAAUAAAUUUUUUUCAACAUAUAUUAUUAAAAUAUCAUUCAACCAAGCAUCAUCCAUAGGAUUGCAAGAUUGUGAUAUCUAUUAUCUCUCCCAACAUGUUGUGUUGUCUCAAAUAUUCUGAUUUUUCCAUUUAGAAAAAUCUCUAGCUGCAAAACAUGAUCAAUCCAAAAGGAAAAACAACAUUAAUGAUUAAAAAAAAUCAAUUAAGUUAUAAGGAAAUCAAUAAAUAAAUUUUACUCUUAAGUAAAAGCAAUUUCAUUUGUUUACAGGAAUAAAUAACAAAAUAAACAGAAAACGACGUCUUUUGAAAUACUAUAUUCAAUCCAUGAUUCAUAUUCGUCAAAUCAUAAUACACAAAAUCUUAUAGAUUGAUUUUUAAUCCUCUUCAAUGAAAAUUCAUGUUGGCGUGGUUGACAAAGUUUCUUUUGCAAAUAAUAUCUUCUUAUUUGAUCUUAGGCAUUUGGAUGGUAGUCAUUUAUCUUUUUUCGCAAUCUCGGAUCGGAAAAUAACUUACUUAUAUCGAGUGACUCUCUAGAUGGUUAUAGAUUGGAUGAUGAAGUUGAAAUUGAUUGAUUUAUUUUAGGUCUUUUGAUCAAAAAUCUAUCCAUUGAUUAUCUAUGUAAAAAAAAUGAUCUAAAUUAAUAACAAAUUUAAAAAUAAGAAAUGUGGAUAAAAAAUACAUUUAUUCUUUUUCUUUGUAUGGAGGAAUGGUCACGAACUCACAUGAAAUGGAAAAAAAAAAUCAAAAAUUAAAUGAAUAGUGUGAAGAUGGAGAAAGAGGGAAAAAACGAAAUUUCUAAAUCCUUAGAUAUAGAUGGACAGUUAUGGAAAAUUAAAAUAAAUACAGUAAUAAAAUAAUUAUUAAUAAAAUAAUGAUUUAUAAACAAAUAUUUAGUAAUAUUUUUUAUAUAAAAAUAAAAUAUAUUAUUACAAUAAUAUAUUUUAUUGGACUACCAUGACUAUUUUUUAUUUUUUUGGUUGGGAAGCUCAAGUCUCUCCAAGCUCCUUCUACGCAUUCGCUAUAUCUCAUCGAUAGUCUUGUCGCCACGCCAUAUAUAUGAAGUCAAGAUCUUAACUUCAGAAGAGAUAUAUAUAGACGGCACGAUUUUGGGACGGCCGGUUUUGGUAACGGUCCUUUUUGCGGGCAGUCGAUCCGGCCGUCCGUUUGCUCGCUCACUCGCAUCCGUUCAUUAGUCUCAUGCCUACUCCGACGUGCGAUGCGACAGGCGCCAUGCCUGCGCGUGAAAUCGUCCUCCUAACCGCCCAUACCGCGUACUGUUUCACUCGUACGAUGUCGUUGUCCACUGUCCUCGUUAUCACUCUCUUCCCCAAUUCUUCGAUAUCAUUCGACGACCAACGACUGACUGUGGAAACUCAAAAUCACUUUCCAUUUCUUCAUUCGCUACGACUAUUACUCCUUCUUAUUGACACCAUUUCUUUUGCAAAUCGAAGGUCUUUCGCUAUACCUUUGGUUUUUGCUGCCUUCGGGUUUCCUAUUAAGGGCGGGCUAGUUAUCUUAUCUUCAAAUCUGGUAAUUGAUCUCGAAUUUGAUUGCUGGAUAGUGGUCGAAUGCAUAUCUUCAAAUUCUUUUAAGAUUCCAUCCAUUCGUGAAAUUAUCUCAUCUUCUAUUUCGGCAUGGUUUGUAAUCAUUCUCGCGCAUCUAUUGAAAAUUGUUGUAAGGGCGUUACCUGAAGAUGUUUGAAUAGAUUCUCUCUGGUUUACCGUUUUUUUCCCGUCAUUUUCCAACGAUCACAAAUCAAAUCCACCGGUAAUUCAGUCCGCCCAUUUGAAGUCAAGAAACAAAUUAUAUGGCGGCAUGGAAUCGCUUUGCUAGAGAAUAGAUAACUGCUACAUGAAGGCGUUUCAAUCGAUUGACCGCAUGUUAUUUUUGGAGACUCAAUUUGAGAGUAUAUCCCUAUGACCAUGUGGACAUUCAUAUCCUGUUCAAAGAAAGCAUAGAAAUUUUAAAAAUAAAAGUAGUUGAAAUAAAUUAUAUUUCAAUUUUUGGGAGUCUUACAUUCGGAUUUACUCGGACGUAAUAGCAUACACUCUUCUGUACCUGUUGCUGGUAGAGUAAAAAAACCUCUGUUGUAUAAACCGAUAGCAAACAUUUUUCUAUUUUCAGUUGGGUAAUUAGUAAUGGGGGUGCAUCUCUGUCUCUGUGGUCAAGUUCUUCCAAUCUGUUGCAUUGUGCUUUCAACACUACUUCAAGUGAGCAAACGAAUUCGAACAAUGUAGAUGACCUUUUGACAUUUAACUUCACUAGUGAAUUCAUCCCCUCACUUCUUUGCGUGCUCUGUAUUCCACCAAAGAAGUGUUUGGUCAUGUAUAUUGGACACCAUUGUGCUCGUACAUGUCUCCCAACCACUUGUGUUCUUUAAGUUUAUUGUCCUCUAUCCAUGAUUGCCAAUUUUUCUCAAAGACCUCGAUAUUCUCGGAUAUGUUUAGGAUUUUGUUGAAUCUCUCCAUCUUCUCCUUAUUUCUGUAUAUAGCUACCUUGUCACACAUCUUGUGUGUAAUGUGCCACUUGCAUAGCCGAUGAAACGCAUUCGAAAACUCACUAGAUAAAGCACAUUUCAUAUCAGCGUCUUGGUCAGUGAUUAUUGUCUUUGGGUAAUUUCCCAUGCAUUUUUUGAACUCCGAGAAGAGCCAUAUAAAGGAUUCUGUAGACUCGUUAGAUAGAAACCCAUUAGCGAACAGAACAGUACGUAGAUGGUUAUUCACCCCACAGAAAAUUCCAAUAAUUAAUCUGUACUUGUUCGUGUUAUAUGUUGUAUCGAAAGUUAUAGCCUCGUCAUAUUCCCUAUAUUCCUCGAUACAUGUUGGGUCAGCCCAGAAUAAUUGUUUCAAAGAUCCUACAGAAAUAGAUGAUUCAGAUAACUACCAAUGAAAAUAGACCAUUUAGAUUUGCGAGAAAUUAAAUCAUACCUUCCUCGUCAAGCUGGUACGAGUAGUAGUAUUUAUCGCCGAGUUCCUUUAGUGCUUUAAAUUUCUCAAUUAAAGUCUCGACGUCAUGACUAUUCAUGUUCUCCUUGUCGUCGCGACGGUAGUUGGAGAAAUCUUGUUGUGUAAAUGGACAGCUUACGAAGCCCCCUGAUUGCAUAGCCACGUACGAAUAUUGCUGUCUGGGAGGUAUGAUUGUCGCAUCCAGACUGUCUAUCAAAUUUCUUGCAUACGAGGUAAUUUCCCUAUUUAUCUUCAAUAACCUUUUCUUGGACGGCGUUGACAAAUCAUGGUUGUGAUUAUCGUUGAAAACAGAUAUAACCCACCUAUCUCUGUGUAUCUUAAUAGUUAGUAGUACUUUGCAUCCUGUUCUCAAAUUUCUGAUGUGUCUAGGCUUUGUAGAUACAAUGCUUGGAUUUUCUACUAUUGAAAUUUUGGCUUUAGAUGUACCUUCCUUCGCGCAAACGUAGGUCUUCUUACGGAGACCCUUCUUCGAAUGUUUAGUUGAGCCUUUACGCACGCAGAACCCUUUUUGCCCAGCAUAUGCGUAGUAAAUAUCUUCAACCACCUUUAUUGAGUCGAACGUCAUACCGACAUUAGGAUGUUCAAUGAUUCUGAAAGAAAUGGCAAAAUUAUUUAAUAUCUUAGUAUGGAUGACAUUCGAUUACUGUGACGUAAAUUUGAGCACCGAAUUAGAAUACCGGAUGCAAUCCUCAUUGAAAUUCUCGUCCAGAGACUUUCCAUUUUGAUCUUCUCUGUUAGUUGAGCUAUAUAUUCAGUAACAUUCAGUAAUACAUAUACGAUGUGGGAAGCACAAUCAUCAUACAUCAAGUAAAAAUAUGUUUUCCUUAUAUGUAGUAUAUUGUGUUCAAACACAUAAAUUACCUGUCUGGUGGGUGUAAAUCCAUAUUUGUUGUUUGAAUUGUAUCUAACACUAGUUCGUAGAAUCUGUAAAAAAUAUAUAAUUUUAAUGAACGACUAACCGCCCUCGACGAUGAUGAAUAGAUUAUGUCGAAAAAUAAAAUACCUAGUUUUCGGGCUUCAUUAUUCUCCCUGUUGAUCUGUUUAGACAAUCAAAAAGAUUAAAAUUAUGGUUUGGAGUUGCAUAAAUUUUAACUAUGUAUAGUAAAUCUAGAUUGCUCUCCAAAUCGAAAAUUGUAACCAUUUAAUUUAAUUUUGUCCGCCGGAGUAAUUGGAUUUGAUUAUAGUUAGAAAUUUAGGUAGGGCAAUAACAUCUUACAAUUGUGGUUUCAUGUUCAGUCAUUUCUGGAUCCAUCCUGCAGUAGAAAAAAAACUUUUAGAAGCCUGUGUUUCGAUCGAAUAUCUUGCGUUGACUUUAGAAAAUGAUACUUCGGAACACAUUAAUCUAAAUGUCUUGAUUAUGAAACUCUAACCUAGUUUGAGAAAUGAUAUUAUGCUAGCGACCACGUGAACCUAAAAGUUAUGUCUUAUGUUAUUAAUUUUUUUUUUUGUAUCCAUAGGGAAAGUCCAAGUUUAUACAGCAGCCCAAUACAUUUAGAAUAUUAUGAAUAUCCCCAAUAAUUUUCUGUAUAUGGUUGAAAGGGUUUUAGUUCUACCUGAAGAUGUUUUUCUCGUCGUCCGUAUUUCUAGGAUAUCCUAAGUUUGAAAAAUCCAUUUCUAGACCUGUAUCUUAAAAACCAAUGUAGGAGGAAGGAGCGACGUCAGAGAACCGACUUCUGCAGUCCGGCGAGCGUCUGAAGAGGUGGCUGCCGGAAUCGCCUAGGGUUUUCCGCCCAAUCUUAGUUUGGGAAAAAACGGAAAUAACCGUUGGGGCGAAAAGAAGAAAGAAAGAAAGAAAGAAAGAAAGAAAGGGGAAAAAAUUUAGUUUUAAUUGUUUUAAAACUUAAUGAUGUUUAAUACAAACUCUCCAGUAUUUAUACAGCUAAUUACACUAACUAAUUACAACGAAUUUAAAACAACAGAUUUAAUCGGAUUCCGGAUUCUGGUUUAUUGCUUCUUGACCCGGAUCCGCUUAAGUUGAAUUGUGAUAAUUGCUGCAUAAACACAAACUUGUUAGUAAUAACAAUUUAGUCCUUGACUUAAGUUUGAGAGUUUUAUUUAAUAGUCCUUAGACUAUUAAAUAACUGGAGAAUUUGCGAGUUGACCCAUAUGUAAGUUUAUUCAAGUUAAAAUAACUUAUUUUGUAAUAACCUGUUAUUUCUUUUAAUUGCAUUCUAGUCCAAUUAACGAUUUUAUUGAAACAUUUAUAAGAAACCUCUUUCAAGUUAUAAACAAAACAGUUAAAUCUGUUUUGUCAUAACCCUUGGUUUAGUUUAUUCCAUUUAGGUCCUGGACUUAGUUUUGUGGGAUAAUUGCUUAUUUACCCUAGAUUUUCAUGUAUUCUUAUACUGUAAUCAUAUUAUAAUAAAAAUUCAGUUACACUAGUUCAAAGUCUACUGAGAGAGAUUCUAAAUGUUUCCACAUUCAUCUGAGCAUCUAAUGGUAUUUUGAAUACAAGUUCAGUGAUAGUGCAUGUAGAAGAACAAGCAGUGAUGGAAGGAUCUAAUGAUUCUCUGAAUAAAACCUCAAUGGUAGUUACCUAUGACGACCAUGUUUCUAAUGUGUUUGAAAGUGUCAAAUACAUGUAUGAAUCCUAUUUCGACGAUACUGAUAAAUGACUAAUCUCGGGAUUGUAUUAUUCAACACUUAUUCCAUAGAGAUGCGCUAAUCUCUUGGCUGUUUGAAUCCUUUGAUUCAUAUCUCGAUUAUACUGCAUGGAGAUACAUAAUUGUUUUGACAGUCUAAGCAUUGUUUAGAUCAAAGCUUAUUAUCUGUAAUGGACAAAUUUGAAUAAUCCUGUUCCAAAAUCUACUGAUGGUAUUAUUCAAAACUUAUUUAUGGAUGAUCAUCUUGUUUCUAAGGAUUCCAUAGAGAUGGACUAAACUCUUGGCUGUUUGAAUUUAACCCUGUUUGAAUUAUCUUUAUGAUGAAUGAAAUAAACCUUGCCAGCUAGCCCUAUUUAGCAAUACAUUUUUUUUCCAUCCCUUGUUAACAUAUUUGAAUUUGGAAGAUUAUAUAGAUUAAAUAAAGUUGAGUGAAUUCAUACGGUGGUUAUUGACACCAUAUGAUGAAAUUAUUGUUUUGGUAAAAGCUCCCCCGAAGAUGCAAUGUUUCUAAUUAUUCAAAUUUGAUAGAAGACCAUCAUGUUUCUAAGGAUUCCAAAGAUAUGGAAUAAUCUCUUGGCUAUCUGAAUCAUGUUAUUCAAAAUUAAUUAGACAAUCUGAGCAUUGUUCAGAUCAUAGCUUAUUGUUCAGAAUGAAACAAAAAAUUUUAACAUAUCAUUUAGAGGUUUUAGUUCGACCUGAAGAUGUUUCCCAAACUUCAAUAAGGACUGGAUUUUCUUGUUUUCAAUUAAUUUAUUUGCAGACCUGAAUCCAAAUAAAAAUAAAAAAUCAGUUACAAAUGAUCUUACAAUCAUCCUUUUGAUGAAUCAAAUAAACCUUGGCAGUUAGUCCUAUUUUACAAUAAAUAUUUUUUUCUUCCCUCAUUUACAUAUUUGAAUUUGGAAGAUUAUAUCGAUUAAAUAAACUUGAAUGGUUUCAUAAGGUGGUUAUUGACUCUCAUAUGAUGAAAUUGCCUUUGGCAAUCUAAAGAAAUUAUAUAGUUCUUAAUUAUUGUUUAGGUGAAAGCUCCCCGAAGAUGCAAUGCCUCUAAUGAUUCAAAUUUGAUAGAACAAAGCGAAUGCAUAUAUGAAUUCGAUCUUGCCGAUAUUGUUAAAUUAAGGUUCAAAAGUGAUUGAAGAAUCUAAUUGAAUUUUGAAUCCAAGGUCAAAAACGAUGACGGUUGAAUAUCCUAGUUUAAUGUUAAAAAUUAUAGGAUUUAUCAAAUAAAGGUCAUUUUAUAGUCACUCUAGAUGAUAAUCUUUCUUAGAUGUUGCAGAGUCUCAUGAUUCCAUUUAAAUGGAAGUAUCUAUUGCCUGCUUGAAUCAUAUUUCAAUGAUAGUUAUAAUAAAAGAUUAUAUAGUGAUUGAAAAAUAUAGGGAUUGUAUUAUUCAAAACCUAUUAAUGUAUGACUGACAUGUAAUCUCUUGUCUCUUGUCUUAAAAUAGAAGCAUAAUUAUUAACAUAUUAGUAAAGUUUUUGUUCUACCUCAAGAUGUGUUUCUCGUCGUCGACAUCCGAAGGAUCUUCGUGUUUUAAAAAUAGUAUUUGCAGACCUGAAUCCAUAUGUAAAUUAAAAUUUAGUUAGAAAAUUACAUCUAAAUAUGCAUCUGAUGGAACAAUUAAACCCUGGUAUUUAGUACUAUUGCACAAAGCAUUUAUUUGUUGUUCCCUGGAAUUACAGAACUGAUUACAUAAGAUUUUAUCCAGUAAAUAAACUAGAACUAGGUCAUUAGUUGGAGUCUCUACAUUUCAUUUAUUUAAACACAUGUUGUUUGCAGUUUGGAUUAUUCAUUUAAACUUGCACUUAUUUGCUCUGUAAUUUGUGUAAAUUUAUGAACUUGCACACUUCAUAGAACUAAUGAAAAGAUCGACAUCUGAAAAUCUUAAUUGCCUAAUGCCAGGUACAGCAGUUUGAUUCAAGAGUACAUUUCUGAUGAAGCACGAGAUCUGCUACCAGUAGGCUGGCGGGGUCGCGAGCAGGGCCGGAGGUUUUGGAGUCCACGACGCGCGCUCUACGUCAAAUACCUGCAGAAGUGGAGAGGAGUCGGCGACUCGGGCACCUUAGUUCUCUGGUCAGAGUGUGGAGUCAAGUAGGUGGGAAUGACUUGAUGAAUGAGAAGACCCCCCAAGGACCCCUUUUAUAGGGCCUUUUGGGACGUUUCUCAUUCAUUACCCGUGGGGCCCACGCUAUUAUGGUGCCCUAUUAAAGGUGCCAUAAUGGCGUGGGCCAAGUCAAGUAACGGCUGGGAGUCGGCGACUCAGGUAUGGGAGUCGGCGACUCAGGGUGAAGCCAUCGAUUCCCCAUGAGCCAGGUUGGCAGUCUACCAGAACUGACCAACGAGGCCUAGAAUCGGCGGCUCAUCUCUGGAGUCGGCGACUUGGUAGUCCCAGUCGCCGAUUCCCAGUGUUGACUUGAGUACUGACGUAGACACUUGCCCGUAUCCGUGGAACUCUCUGGGGGUCCGGCAUAAAGCGGCGGAACCCUAGUCCUUGUUGAAGGGCGUUGCUAGGACGUAAUCAGGCAUGUCUCACCAGUACUCCCCCCUGAAGAGAGCACAAGAAACAUGCGUGUACCGCCAGUAUCCCCCCCCAAGCAAGGUGAUCCGCACCAAGGCCAAAGCGACAAGAUGGGAUCGAGGCAUUGCGCUCACAGCGACACAAUGACUCCGCGUGGUCCAUGCACUAUCAGAUGGACUGAUUCACUAUCAGAAUCUAGUUCCAGGCCAAUGGAAGUACGUGUUUAUAGUCCUACUCUGAUCAGGAGCGACUUUUGCUGUGGAUUCUGGCCGAAGAGACAGAAUGCUUGGAUUCACUAUCAGAAUCGGGUUCUGGCCGAAGCGACAGAAUGCGUGGAUUCACUACUAGAAUCUAGUUCACUAUCAGAACUGAUGCUUAUAGUCCACCCUGAUCAAGAGUGACUUUACGUCCGCAACGACGGUUACCCCAUAGGCCAAAACGCAAGAUGGGUCGAGAUCAUUAAGGCCAAAGCGACAAAGUGAACUCCAAACGUAUCAAGGCCGAAGCGACAAGAUAUAAGAAUUAUUGAAGCCAAAGCGACAACAUAAUUCUUGGUUCAUUAAGGCCAAAGCGACAAAAUGGACCUGGAUCUAUUAAGGCCAAAGCGACAAAAUAGAUUGACUCACUAUCAGAGUCUGGUUCACUAUUAGAACCUUUUCCUGCAAAACAGAAAACAACUUGCAAAACAACCAUAUCAGUCUAAAGGAAAUACUUAUUGAUUUACUGACCUUGCCGUGUGAAGCUGCCUCUUGUGUUGCUACUCCUUAUGCUCAAUAAGUCCUUGAUUGAUCUGGCCGAAGCGAUAGAUCUAUCAUGCUCAAAAUGUGACAGCUUCUGGCCGAAGCGACAAAAGUGUCGGGAGGACUUGUGAUGCUCCCCUUGGGUUUCGACGAUUUCUGGCCGAAGCGACAGAAGUGUCAGGAAGAGCUUGUGAUACUCCCCCCGGGGUUUGACGACUUCUGACCGAAGCGACAGAAGUGUUGGGUAGAGCUUGUGAUACUCCCCCCUUGAGAUCAUUAAGGCCGAAGCGUCAAAAUGACCUCAGGUCUAUCAAGGCCGAAGCGACGAGAUAGACCGACUCACUAUUAGAGUCUGACUCACUAUCAGAGUCUGGUUCCCUAUUAGAACCUGGUUCACUAUUAGAACCUUUUCUGCAAAAAAGAAAACAUCCUGCAAAAUAACUAGAUCAGUCCAAAACGCAUAUUUAACUUAUUGAACUUACCGUGCGAUUUUACCUUCCUUGAUGCCUCUCCUUUGCUCAAAUUGAUCCUUGGUAAAUAUGGCCGAAACGACAGAUCUUACCGUGCUCAAUUUUUGACGACUUCUGGCCGGAGCGACAGAAGUGUCGGGAGAGUUUGUGAUACUCCCCCCGAAAUUUGACGACUUCUGGCUGAAACGACAAAAGUGUCGGGAGAGCUUGUGAUACUCCCCCUCGAAAUGUAACGACUUCUGGCCGAAGCGACAGAAGCGUCGGGAGUACUUGUGAUACUCUUUAUUGAAAAUGUGAUGACUUCUGGUCGAAGCGACAGAAGCGUCGGGAGUAUUUAUGAUAUUCUCCCUUGAGGUGUGAUGACUUCUGUCCGAAGUGACAGAAGUGUCGGGGGAGUUUGUGAUAUUCUCCCUCGAUAUGUGAUGACUUCUGGCCGAAGCGACAGAAGUAUUGGGGGAGUUUGUGGUAUUCUCCCUCGAUGUGUGAUAACUUCUGGCCGAAACGACAGAAGUGUCGGGAGAGUUUGUGAUACUCUCCCUCGAAAAUCGUGCCUUUUGAGACACAUAACCCUUUGAAUGAGUGGGUUUUAUUUUUUGAAGUAUUGGAGUAUUCGAAACUGAUAAAUAUUCGAAACUCGAGGGUUACCUUUGCAACCUUGAACCCUGAUGCUGGAGAGAGUCUGUGAUGUUCUCUCCUGAGAUGCGACGACUUCUGGCCGAAGCGACAAAAGUGUCGGGGAGGGCUUGUGAUACUCCCUCCUGAAGAUGUGACGAUUUCUGACCGAAACGACAGAAGUGUCGGAGAGGGCUUGUGAUACUCUCUCCUGAAAGUGUGUUGUUGUUUACCCUGAGUCGGCGACUGGGUGCCCCAAUCGUCGACUCCUAUGCUUUGGGUAACUGUGAGGGUUGUUUUGAAAUUUUCCCCCUUGAGUCGGCGACUCCUUCUGGGAAUCGUCGACUCCUACUGUGAAACGUCGGAUCUUUCAGGAGAUCCUUAGAGAUAUUUGGAGGAUAUAUGCAAAAUUUUCAAUUAAGGAAAUAUAUCUCUCAAAUUUUGAAAAAUAGUGGCUGGAAUCGACGAUUCAGCUUGGGAAUCGUCGACUCGGACGUGAUUUCAGGGAUUUUGGAGAUCGAUUUCCGAUUUCUUCCCUUGCAAUUUUCGGAUUCUCUAGGGGGUUUUUGCAAUUUUCCCAGGAAUUAUAAAUAGUGGUGAGCGCUUCACACUUCUCACUUCACUUUUCCCCAAUUUCGAAUCGCCUAUCAAACCCUAGAUCCUUCUGUCGCCGAUUCCCCAGUUCAAUUCUACUUGAAUCGACGACUCCGAAAUGGCAAGAACUACUCCUCACCUUACUGAUGCCGAGGCCGCUGCUAUGAUUGCGGAGAUGGCCGGAGAAGAAACACUUGUCGAGGUGCUGAACGCCGUCGAGUCGCCGAUUUCGUCUCCUCCCAGAGACGUUGAAUCGUCGACUCCGGUUGUUCCACCUUCUGACCAUUUGAGUGCUUCUGUGCACGAUUUGUUGGAGCCUCUGGCUGGGUCGACGAUUUCGGACAAGGUUUCGGAAGUCGUGCCAGAAGCUGAACAGGGAGAAAUCCUUGGUGAGUCGACGAUUCCCACUUCGGGGUCGCCGAUUCCCAGAGCUUCAAAGAAGAAGAUCUCCUUCAAGAGGAGGGAAAAGUUGGCCACCGACUCCGAGGCCUUAAAUAUCCGAGGCGACUGGGCCAGUGGAAUCGACGAUUCUGGUAGUUGAGUCGGCGAUUCCCAUCAUGACAGUGGAUGAUUCAACUGUAAAUUCCGAGCCACUUGUUGUGAGUUCUGAGGGUGUCAUCGUGUCUGGGAUGAACCCUAACAAGCGACCAUCUCAGGACGAUGGUUUGAAAAAGAAGAAAAGACGACGGGGCCAUGGCAAAGGCAAAAUCUAUGUGCCUGGCCAGGAGGAGACUCAGAAUCCUCACAAUAUAAAUUUUGACGAGGAACUCAUGAUUGAUCGUGGAGUUCCCGUCCCUGCUCCAGAUGCGGGACGUCGUGAACGAGAAAAAACUCCUAUAUCUCCAGUCGAGAUGGAUUUAGGUCGAAAUCCCGAUGCCGAUCCCUCAAACUAUAUUGGGGUCAUGAAUCCGACCGGAUACGCGCAUUGCGAAACGUAUGUUAAUGGCGCAACGCAAUUGCUCCCUAUCGACCGCUCGGGCGAGAGUCGAUUUGAAGAGGUUAUGACUGUGGCGACGCUUGCGCGUCAAUCUGAAGUGCAUCCCCCCUCAAUCAUUAACGCGAAAGAGGCCCGAAAUCUGUUGAGGGCGAUGAAGAUUUUCGGACAUCUCCGCUUUUGGGUGUCGCGAUACCAGCCCGCGAACCUUCCACCACCAGGGUUCCAGGCUCUACCUAAAAUGUAUUUAAAGCAUUUCCCUGAGCUGCCUAUUCCGGAGCUCAUGAGUGAAUUGCUUCUUGCCUUUGAAGUCUCGCUGUCACAGCUACCAGCGGGAUUCUUUGUGACAUUGAGAGGGUUCCUCAACAUUUGCUGGAGUUUGGGUGUUACUCCCACCCCAUACCUCUUCCUUAACUACUACAAGUUGUGUAAGGAUGGGAAGGUUGGAUCGGGUCAUCUCGGGUUGGCGCGACGAAACCUCGAUCGUAACUUAGUGGAUGAUCUUCCCACUAACCAUGGAGUGUGGAAGAAAGAAUUUGUGUUUGUCAAUUCUGAGUUUCUUCCCGGGAGUCGGGAAGUUUGGGCUGACCCGAAUUGCACGAAGCUGUGCGUGAAUCUGGGCUUGAUGGCGGAUGAUGUGAUUGCCGUCACCAAGAUCACCCAGGCCCUGAAAGCUCACCACCUGCCCCGUGGCGUGCCAUUUGUCCUCUCUCAGCGUGAGGACUUUACUUUCGAGGAUGUUGUGGAGGUUCAGAAACCUCCUACGGAUGAAUAGACAGCAAGCGCAAAGAAGCGAACGCUUCUAUAUUUUGAUGUUGUCGCUCCGCACAUGGCCGAGAGAUAUCGACGUGCGAAGCUGAUUAGACUGGAGAAGAAAACCAAGGCUCCCAAGGCCCCGAGUAUGUUUGAGAGGGGCUCAAGCUCUCAAGCCACACCUGAGCGGGCUGGUUUCGCACCUUUGACGAGUGGCAUGCCCCUUCCUGACUUUAUGGCUGAUCCACAAGUCAGGUCGGAUGCUAUGUCCAUCUUGAUGACGCAAUCCGGGAGUUGGGUUCGGAGUGAGCUCAUGACAGCUCUGAAUGCUGUAAGUGCUUCUACUUUCCGAAAACAUUUUUUACUUAUUGUUUUUGUUUGUUUGCUAACUUGUUUUUUUGUGUAGGCUUGCUACAUGGCCCAUGCUUGUUUGGGCAUGGAUUCGAUAAAUGACGUCCAGAGAAUUCAGGAUCGAUAUAAUGAACUGGACGCCAAGUACAAGAUUAGCGAGAAGCAACUGGGCAAGCUGGCCCAUGCUCAAAGAAAAUUUGAGAACCUUAGAGACAACGUCAUCCCGAAUAAGGAGAAGACGAUUGAGUCCCAAAAGAAGGAAAUCGACGAUUAUGUUUCGCAGAUUUUGGGACUCCGUAAAGAACAGAAGAGUGCCUCUAAGGAGAUGCAGAGCAUGCGGGCCCAGCUGGAUAUGGAGAUUGGAAAUGUGGUUUCAUCUGAAGCCACAAAUGCGAAUCUGAGGAGCACUAACUCUGAGUUGGAGAGGAAGUGCGAUGAGCUGAAUGACCAACUUACUCGCUCUAAGGAGGAGUUGGAAGGUGUGAAGAAGGAGAACUCCGUGUUGAAGAAGGUGAACUCCGUACUUUUGGAGAAGGCUAAGGACUUGGAGUUGGAUAAGAAGUACCAAUCUGAUCAACUCCAAGAACUUAGCUUCUUUGGUACCUCAGUGUUCCCAUCACUACCCGAAGACUUUAUCUCGGAUAUCAUGAUGUGGGUAGACGAGCAUCCCGAAGAGAAAGAGAAAAACAGGGAUGCUCUCGACAAGCUAAAGAACGACGAAGAAGACUAGAUUUUUUAUUUCUUCUUAGCUUGUAACUUUUGAUAUUUUAGAAUAUUUUGUAAUAUUUUGGACUUUAUUAAUGAAUCGCUUUGCUUUGCUUUGCUUUCAAUUAAUUGUUUAUUUUACUUUAUUUCUUUGAAUUGUAACUAAGACCCGAAACUAGAUUCGCGAGUCGUAAUUUAGCCGCCCUGGACGUAAAUUAGACUAACCCUAUUGCUAGCCACUCUGGGCGUAGACUUAGUCGUGCGAAUCGUAGCUCAGUCUACGGUUAAAUUCGCGAAAUGAAUUAAACUUCACAAUUAACAAAAACUCGCAAUUAAUGUCGAUCAAAAUAAUAAGUGGAAAACAAAAUAUCGAAAAGAAUCGGAAAAUAGAAAAUAUCGAAAUUAAGAUACGACUUUUUCUAGACCUUAAGACUCUAGAAUUGUACUCUAGAUUCCUUAUUAUGUAGUUCAACUCCGGCCGAAGCGACGGAGCAACUUUUGACCCACAUCAAGGUCGUAACGACGAGAUGGGGUUGAAUCGUUAAGGCUAUAGCGACAAAACGAUUACUAAUCCAUUAAGGCCAUAGCGACAUAAUAGAUUCUGGUAAGUGUGGUGGGUACUUAGAACCUCUUGUGGUUGGGUUCACUUGUACCUAUCAACUACCUAGGACUCUACUUCUAGACCCUAAUGCGUGGUUGAACUCUGGCCAUAGCGACAGAGUAACUUUUUGGACCCACAUCUAGGCUGAAGUGACAAGAUUGGGUUUAAUCGUAAUGUGUCAAAACGAUUUUAAUCUAUUAAGGCAAUAGCGACAAAAUAGAUUUAUAAUAUGGGGUGCUAGUUAGAGUCGUAGGUAGAUGAUAAAUGUAAAUUUUAUUGAAAUGUAAAUUACAAAAGUAAAAUCUGAUUUUUCUACUUUGCAAUUUAAACUAACAUAUAGACUAAGAGGCUCUAAGGAAUAACGUGUUCAAUACUAAGCGUAGUAUCGCUGUAUGUUGUCCGUGUGCCAGAUGCAGGGACCUUUGGGUGACAGCUUAUUCCUAUUCCUCUCAGCUAUGCUAGCCUUCCUGUGGGUCUACCACCAAAUAACAUAUAGAUGGUUUUCCAUGGGUGGUCCUCGCUAUUGUCGCUAUUUGGCGAAAGAGAGCGUGGACGCUUUCCCUUCGUGUCAGACUUGCAAUCGUCUCGACCUCGGGAUCCUCUGACAAAGUUGUCAAGUUCGCCGUUCGAGAUCAAUUGCUCGACAUAAAGCGAGAAUUCCCUGCAAUAGUCCAUCAGAUGGUCGUGGUCCUUGUGGAAUUUACAGAAUCUUCCACCUUUUUGACGGCUAUCCUUGGUUGCAGGGUCCAUAGAGCGAGGAGCGGGCAGAUCUGCUCUGUUCUUCAGUUUCUCAAACAGCUCGCUUUUGCUGAUUAUUAGCGGGGUCCGAUCCUUCCAUGGUUGAGGUGGACCCCUUGGUGGAUGUUUGGUGGAUGUUUGAUACACCUUGUUAUCGUGUUUGGGCUUCCAUUCCUUUCUGAAGGAAUCAGCCGCAUUGUCAGUGUAUCUAUUUGAGGAGUCAUUGUAGCUCUUCUUCUCGAACUUUUGUUUCUUGAAGCUAGUGUUCUCAAGUUCCACUAGCUUGUUUUCAUUCUACUCUUCCACCUCAAUGAAUGAUUGAGCUCGUUGGAAGAGGUCGGGUAAGGUCUUCACUUUAUGGAGCGUAAGAUUCAGGGCCAAAGGGGAGUAGGGUACUAGUCCAUUCGUGUAUCCCGCUAUGGCCAGACUCGGGAUUAAGUCGUUCACUUCUGUCAUCAUUGAAGUGAACUUAAUCGUAUAAUCCCUAAGAGACAGUUUAUCCUGCCGUAGCGCCAGCAGUGCAUUGGCGCUGUGUUUGAUCCUAAUCAUCCCCACAUGUUGGGCGAUGAAUUUGGACGAGAGGUCCGCGAAGCUGAAGAUUGAUCCAGUUGGCAGACCGGAAAACCACCGAUAGGCAUUGCCCUUGAGAGUGUCGGGGAAUGCUCGACACAGCAGUGCGUUGUCAGUGGUUUGCGGUUCCAGAACAUUGAUGUAGAGGUUGAUGUGUUCUUUUGGAUCACUCGAACCAUCGUACGACUCUAUUCUGGGUACCCGCCAGGUUGGUGGAAAGGCCACCUUCAAAAGGUCCUCUUGGAAAGGAGCGCUUUUGACUCUUAGGAAUUCGAUCGGACUGCUAGUGACCGGAUUGUCGGCCAGCUUCCGACGGAGGUCCUCCAUGAACUGUGUUGUAAGAGUCCUCUCAGUGCGACUCUUACUGGGUCCAGCUCUUGAUUUUUCUGGUUCUGGACCUUUCUUUUUCUCCGCAGUCGGAGAAUUCUAAGAGACCGAUUCACUCGCUCUUUCGCGGGCGAUGGUCCUCUGACUCCUCGCUUUCUCGAGGUUGUUAACUCUUUGCUCCAUGUUAUCCAUGAAGUUAAUCAACCUCGCUUCUAGAGCGGGAGAGAUGGAUGUCCGAGGGGGCAAAUCAGUUUGAGCAUCCUCGAACCUCUCAACUUGUAUGUUUUGUUGAGGAUACCCAGUUUGUGCCCCAUCGGGUGCCACUGAGGAUUUGCCUUUGUUCCUCAGAUAGUAAUCGUGUUUUUGCCUUUCAGAAGCCAUAGAUGACAAAAGCAAAUUCCAACCGAAGCGCAGGUAUUGACCGAACUAACUCGAAAGAAACCAAGUGGAGUCGGCGACUCAGCAGGUGGAGUCGGCGACUGGCCUUAGGUUUUUUGACUUUCGAGCUGAGUCAAGGACCACACUCUUAGCUAGCAGAAUAACCCGCAAUCGACGACUCACUAGGUGGAGUCGGCGAUUGCCUGUGUGAAUCGGAGAUUCCUUGACACAAAGUCAGCGAUUCACCCUAAGGGAAUCGAGCUGAACUUUGCGAAGAAAAAUUCGCGAUUACGACGGGAUAUCGUGGAUUCGAGUCCCACAGGCGUCAGCUGAUGAAGCACGAGAUCUGCUACUAGUAGGCUCGUGGGGUCGCGAGGAGGAUCAGAGGCUUUGGAGUCCACGACGCGCGUUGUACGUCAAAUACCUGCAGAAGUGGAGGGGAGUCGGCGACUCAGGUGUGGGAGUCGGGCUCCUUAGUUCUCUGGUCGGAGUGUGGAGUCAAGUAUUGAUGGGAAUGACUUGAUGAAUGAGAAGACCCCCCAAGGACCCCUUUUAUAGGGCCUUUUGGGACGUUUCUCAUUCAUUACCCGUGGGGCCCACGCUAUUAUGGUGCCCUAUUAAAGGUGCCAUAAUGGCGUGGGCCAAGUCAAGUAACGGCUGGGAGUCGGCGACUGGGAGUCGGCGACUCAGGGUGAAGCCUUCGAUUCCCCAUGAGCCAGGUUGGCAGUCUACCAGAACUGACCAACGAGGCCUAGAAUCGGCGGCUCACCUCUGGAGUCGGCGACUUGGUAGUCCCAGUCGCCGAUUCCCAGUGUUGACUUGAGUACUUGAUGUAGACACUUGCCCGUAUCCGUGGAUCUCUCCGGGGGUCCGGCAUAAAGCGGCGGAACCCUAGUCCUUGUUGAAAGGCGUUGUCGGGAGUGACUGACGUAAUCAGGCAUGUCUCACCAAUUUCAUUAACAUGGGAAAAAGAAAAUUUUGUCCUAACUGGUGAGACAUGCCUGAUUACGUCAGUCACUCCUAGCAACACCCUUCAACAAGGACUAGGGUUCCGUCGCUUUAUGUCGGACCCCCGGAGAGUUCCACGAAUUCGGAGGAAGUGUCUACAUCAAGUACUCAGGGCAACACCUGGGAGUCGCCGACUGGGACUACCAAGUCGCCGACUCUAGGGGUGAACCGCCGACUCUAGGCCUCGUGGUCAGUUCUGGUAGACUGCCAACUUGGCUCAUGGGGAGUCGGCGACAGAACCUCUGGAUCGGCGACUCCCAUACCUGAGUUGCCGACUCCCAGCCGUUACUUGAGUAGGGCCCACGUCAUUAAGGCACCCUUCAAUAGGAUACCUUAAUGGGGUGGGCCCCACGCUAAUGAAUGGGGAAACGUCCCCCAGGACCCUAUAAAAGGGGUCCUUGGGGGACCUCUACUCCCAGGUCAUUCCCACUUGACACACCACACUAGAGCAAUCCAGGGAGCCCGAAUCGCCUACUCCCAAGAGAGUCGCCGAUUCCCCUCCCCUUCUGCAGGUACAUUGACGUAGAGCGUGCGUCGUGGACUCCAAAGCCUCCGGCCCUCCUCGCAACCCCGCGAGCUUACUGGUAGCAGAUUUCCUGCUUCAUCACUAACAGUACUCAUUUUGAUUUUGGAUCCAUAGCUAGUCAUCAUUUUUAGUGGGGAGGAGUAUUGAAAGACUGUGCCAACCAUUCCUUCAACUGUUGUGCAUCAGUGGGAUCAAUGCUCUUGUAAGUCUCCAAAGCGUCCUCGUAGUCGUCAUCCGACGAGGGCUCUGGUGAGACAUGCCUGAUUACAUCAGUCACUCCCAGCAACACCCUUCAACAAGUAUUAGGGUUCCGUCGCUUUAUGCCGGACCCCCGGAGAGCUCCACGGUCGCGGGCAAGUGUCUACGUCAAGUGCUCAAGUCAACACUGGGAACCAACGACUAGGACUACCAAGUCGUCGAUUCUGGACCAGGGUAGUGAGUUCUCCCGACCUGGCUCCUAAGGACUCGCCGACUCCACCCUGAAUCAACGACUCCCAUACCUGAGUCGCCGAUUCCCAGCCGUUACUUGACUUGGCCCGCGUCAUUAUGGCACCAUCAAUGAGGCGCCAUAAUGACGUGGGCCCCAGGGACAUUGAAUGAGAAACGCCCCAAGGACCUUAUAAAAGGGGCCCUUGGAGGGUCCUCAUUCUCAGGUCAUCUACACUUGACACACCCCACACCAGAGCACAUCUAGGAGCCCGAGUCGCCAACUCCCACAUCUAAGUCGCCGAUUCCCCUCCUCUUCUGCAGGUACAUUGACGUAAAGCGCGCAUCGUGGACUCCAAAGCCUCUGGCCCUCCUCGCAACCCCGCGAGCCCACUGGUAGCAGAUCACGUGCUUCAUCAGCUGGCGUCGUCUGUGGGAAUAUCGAACUACGAUAUCCCGUCGUAAUCGCGAAAUUUUCUUCGCAAAGUUCGGCUCGAUUCCCAUUGGGUGAAUCGCUGACUUUGUGUCAAGAAAUCGUCGAUUCAUACCAGCAAUCGCCGACUCCACCUAGUGAGUCGUCGAUUCCGGGAUUAUUCUGCUAGCUAAGAGUGUUGUCCACGGCUUGGUUCAAAAAGCCCAUAAGUUGAAUCGUCGAUUCCACAUAGGGAGUCAUCGAUUCCUUUAGCUUUUUGAAUAAGUGUUGUCAAUGCCUUUUGCUAUGGAACAUUCACUUUCACAUAGGUUGGAUUUUUCAUAAAAAAUCACCUAUCUUCAUCUGAAUCGUCGAUUCCCACCUGAAUCGACCUGAGUAGGCGAUUCCCACACCUGAAUCGUCUAUUCGGUCCUUGUCUUCAUUCAUCGCUUUGGCUGAAUAAGACCACCCACAACCCAACUCUUUGACCGAAACAAAAAUCCAUCGCUUUGGCUGGAUUCGCAUCGUCGUUUCGGUAAAAAAAAGAAGCAUGGGACUUUUCGCCUUUUUUCACUUCCAGUGAUUCUGUCGGUCCACCUCCGGAAUUCCCAGAUUUGAUUUUGGGAUUCUGCGACCACACAUCACGUGAAAAAAGUUCUCUACGAGUACAAAAAAACAGAAUUUCCCAACAGUGCAAGGAAUCUAUUUUGGGAUAGGUCUAAACAGACAUCCCAAAAACUACCUUCGGCGGCACGAUUUUCUGCAGAAAAAUUGCAAAAAAUUUGCGAUUUUUUUUUUGCUAAUUUCAAACUUUGGGGACUAGUAAUACUGCUCAAGGGGGUCACAAAACUACAAAGAAAUAUCAUACAAAAAAAUUUCUGUUUUGUGACACCCGGGGGGGCAGGUACCUACCCAUAGCUUCCGACACUUCGGAAGAACUUCCACUCGUAGUCUGUUACUUCGACCUGAUAGAAGCAACCAUCCCAUUUAUGACUCCUUUUACUAAGGAUUAUAAAAAGGAAAACUCCCGCUACUGCUACUGAAGUAGGAGCUUCUAGUAGGAGGGUUGGUUCCCGUACUGUACCAACCUCUAAUGCACCACUGUCCACACAUGAGUGCCCUCAUCACUCCCACCAAAUGGAUGAGUGAACCUAACUCCUGCGCUACAAGAGAGGUUGAUUAACUUUAUGGAUACCAUAGAAAAAGGAGUUAGCAACCUCGAGAAAGCAAGGGACCACAAGAGGAAAUCUCCAGUCCCUCCUAAAGCAAGGGUUGGACCUAGUAAGAGUCGCACUAACAAGACUCUUACGUCACGGUUCGUGGAAGAUCUUCGUCGGAAGCUGGCCGAUAACCCAGUCGCCAGCAGCCCGAUCGAGUUCCUGAGAAUCAAAAGUGCUUCUUUUCACGAGGACCUUUUGAAAGGAUCCUUUCCACCAACCUGACGGGUACCCAGGAUAGAAGCGUAUGACGGUUCCAGUGAUCCAAAAGAUUAUAUCAACCUCUACCUUAAUGUCUUGGAACCGCAGACCACCGAUAACAGGUUGUUGUGUCGGGCAUUCCCCGACACUCUCAAAGGCAGCGCUUAUCGAUGGUUUUCUGGUCUGCCAGCUGGCUCGGUCUCCAGCUUCGCGGACCUCUUUUCAAAGUUCAUCGCCCAACAUGUGGGGAUGAUCAGAAUAAAACACAGUGCCAACGCACUACUGACACUACGACAGAACAAGCUGUCUCUGAGGGAUUACACAAUUAAGUUCACUUCGAUGAUGACAGAAGUGAACAACCUGAUCUCAAAUCUGGCCAUAGUAGGAUACAUAAGAGGGUUGGUACCCUUCUCCCCUUUGGCCCAGAAUCUGAUGCUCCAUAAAGUGGAGACCCUGCCCGACCUCUUCCAACGAGCUCAAUCAUUCAUUGAGAUAGAAGAGGAGGACAAUGACAAGUUGGACGGAUUCGAGCCUCCCAGCCGGAAAAAACUUCGCUAUGCUGAAAAAGAUACAUACGAGGAUACAAGUUCCCGGUCCGAAACCUCGACUACUAUUCCUCGAUACAGAGAGGACUUUCCAAGCAGCAGUUAUGGCCACCAAAGUCAUAACUCGUACUCUCAGUCUGAUAACAGUUAUGGCCACGAAAGCCAUAGCUCACGCUCUCAAUCCUAUAAUAGUGAUGACGACCAAAACCACAGUUCACAUUCACAAUCAAGUGCAUCACGCUAGUAGUGAGGAACUAUCAUUUGUUAAAAGGAAGAUAAGAUUGGCCAGAGUAACCAGGCAGGCUAUGCUUCUGUCAGUAGCAACCAGCGAUCAAAACACGUUGAUUCUUUUGUUUGUCGCUCUCAUAUAUUCUCAAUAGCGAUAUUAUUCUAAAUAAAUCUCUCUUUAAUCCAUGGAGAUACUAUGAAAUAUGUAUGCCAUAUCAUACUUAGAAUAAUCACCCAUCGCUUCAGACGGAUCAAUCAUCCAUCGUUUCGGCUGGAUGGCGUCCGUCACUUCUACCUCAUAUACCAUCCAUCGCUUUGGCUACUCAGACCUAACUUAUGACCCACGAGUCUAAGUGACGGUUACAAAAUCCAAUUUACGUCCAGAGUGGCUAAAUUGUGAUUACAAGUUUAGCUUACGAUUUAUGAGUUCAAAGUGCGACUUAAGAAUCUAAUUCAUGCUCUCAUUUACGAAUCUAGCCCCGAGAUUCUAAAUUUACGACUACAAUCAAUGAUACCCUCGUUUUAAAUCUAUUUUGUCGCUAUGGCCUUAAUAGACCAAGGAUCAUUUUGUCGCUUUGGCCUUAAUGAUCCUAUCCCAUCUUGUCGCUAUGGCCUUGAUGAGGAUCGAGAGUCGCUCUGUCGCUAUGGUCGGAGCUUGACUAAAACCCCAGGGUUCAAAUCUAGAAUUGUAGUCCUAAAUUGCAGUCUCUUAGUAUCUAUGCUAGUACAAAUUACGAAAUAGAAUAGUUAGAUUUUAUUUUUGUAAUUCUCAUAUCUAAAAGUCAAUAAAGUUGACACUCUUUCGAAAUCACCUACCUGCGACUCUAACUAGUACCCUACCUUAGAAAUAUAUUUUGUCGCUAUGGCCUUAAUAGAUUAAAAUCGUUUUAUCGUUAUGGCCUUAACGAUCCUACCCCAUCUUGUCGCUUUGGCCUUGAUGUGGGUCCAAAAGUUACUCUGACGUUUCGGCCAGAGUUCAACUACACAUUAGGGUAUAAGUGUAGAGUCUUAGGUAGUUGAUAAGUACAAAUGAACCUAACUUCAAGAAGUUCUAAGUACCCACAACACAUACGAAAAUCUAUUCUGUCGCUAUGGCCUUAAUAGAUUAAAAAUCGUUUUGUCGCUAUGGCCUUAACGAUUCAACCCCAUCUUGUCGCUAUGGCCUUGAUGAGGGUAAAAAGUUACUCUGUCGCUUCGGCCAGAGUUUAACUACACAUUAGGGAAUGAAAUCUAGAAUCUUAGGUUCUAAGUCUUAUUCCCGAUAAUUUUUGUAUCUUCAACUUAUUACGUCAAUUAGCUUUGCAAGUCUUGAUUAGUUGUGAAGUUUAAUUUAUUUCGCGAGUUUAGCCGUAGACUGAGCUACGAUUCGUACGAUCAAGUCUACGCCCAGAGUGGCUAGCAAUAGGGUUAGCAGAGUCUAAUUUACGUCCAGAGUGGUUAAAUUACGACUUGUGAAUCUAGUUUCGGGUCUUAGUUACAAUUCAAAAAAUAAAUUAAAUAAACAAUUAAUUAAGAAAGCAAAAUAAUUUAUUAAAUUGAAUUCCAAAAAAUUACAAAAAUAUGAAAGCAUUUCAAGAGAGAGUAUCACAAUCUCUCUCCGACACUUCUGUCGCUUCGACCAGAAGUCGUCACAUUUCAAGAGGGAGUAUCACAAGCUCUCUCCGACAUCAGGGUUCAAACUUAAGUUGUAAUUAGAAAUUACAAACAUAACCCUCGAGUUUCAAAUAUUUGCAUCUUUUGGAUUUGUCAUUUGCGCUAUCUUUUACAACUCUACGUUAAUCUGAAAGUAUAAAUUAUCUGCAAAUUUAACCGUAGGCUGAGCUACGAUUCGUACGACCAAGUCUACGUCCAGAGUGGCUAGCAAUAGGGUUAGCAUAGUCUAAUUUACGUCCAGAGUGGCUAAAUUACGACUUGUGAAUCUAGUUUCGGGCCUUAGUUACAAUUUAAAUGGUAAUUUAUAUGAAAAAUUAGCAAAGAAAAAAUAAAAGAUAGCCCAUUGACAAUCAAAAUCAAAUAUUUCGGAAAACAAUUCAUUCCAAAACUUAUGUGUCACAAUGGCACGAUUUUCGAGGGGGAGUAUCACAAACUCUCCCGAAACUUCUGUCGCUUCGGCCAGAAGUCGUCACAUUUCGAGGAGAAGUAUCACAAGCUCUCCCGACACUUCUGUCGCUUCGGCCAGAAGUCAUCGCAACUCAAAGGGGGAGUGUCACAAACUCUCCCGACACUUCUGUCGCUUCGGCCAGAAGUCGUCAAAUUUCGGGGGGAGUGUCANNNNNNNNNNNNNNNNNNNNNNNNNNNNNNNNNNNNNNNNNNNNNNNNNNNNNNNNNNNNNNNNNNNNNNNNNNNNNNNNNNNNNNNNNNNNNNNNNNNNNNNNNNNNNNNNNNNNNNNNNNNNNNNNNNNNNNNNNNNNNNNNNNNNNNNNNNNNNNNNNNNNNNNNNNNNNNNNNNNNNNNNNNNNNNNNNNNNNNNNNNNNNNNNNNNNNNNNNNNNNNNNNNNNNNNNNNNNNNNNNNNNNNNNNNNNNNNNNNNNNNNNNNNNNNNNNNNNNNNGCAUCACGAAAGGUAAAAUCGUACGGUAAGUUCAAUAAUAAUAUGCGUUUUGGACUGAUCCAGUUAUUUUGCAGGUAAGAUUCUAAUAGUGAAUCAACAGAUUCUGUCGCUUCGGCCAGAAUCAGAAUCUAAUAGUGAAUCAACAGAUUCUGUCGCUUCGGCCAGAAUCAGACUCUGAUAGUGAGUCGGUUUGUCUUGUCGCUUUGACCUUGAUAGACCAGAGGUCAUUUUGUCGCUUUGGCCUUAAUGACCUCAAGGGGGGAGUAUCACAAGCUCUCCCCGACAUUUCUGUCGCUUCGGCCAGAAGUCGUCGAAUUCCGGGGGGAGUAUCACAAGCUCUCCCGACACUUCUGUCGCUUCGGCCAGAAGCUGUCAAAUUUAGAGCAUGGUAGAUCUGUCGCUUCGGGCAGAUCAACCAAGGAUUUGUUGAGAAAAGGAAGGAGCUGCUUCACACGGCAAGGUCAGUAAAUCAAUAAAUAUAUCCUUUAGACUGAUAUAGUUGUUUUGCAGGUUGUUUUUUGUUUUGCAGGUAUGAUUUUGUCGCUUCGGCCAGAAUCAGAUCUAUUUUGUCGCUUUGGCCUUAAUAGAUCUAGGUCCAUUUUGUCGCUUUGGCCUCAAUGGACCAAGAAUUAUUUUGUCGCUUUGGCCUCAAUAAUUCUUCUAUCUUAUCGCUUUGGCCUUGAUAGACUUGGAGAUCAUUUUUUCGCUUUGGCCUUAAUGAUCUCGACCCAUCUUGUCACUUUGGCCUUGAUGGGGUAACCGUCGUUGCGGACAUAAAGUCGCUCUUAAUCAGGGUAGAUUAUAAACAUCAGUUCUGAUAGUGAACUAGAUUCUGAUAGUAAAUCAACAGAUUAUGUCGCUUCGGCCAGAAUCAGGCUCUGAUAGUGAGUCAGUCCAUUUUGUCGCUUUGGCCUUAAUGGACGGAAAUUAUUUUGUCACUUUGGCCUUAAUAAUUCCCUCUCAUCUUGUUGCUUUGGCCUUGAUGAUGACACAGCAAAGUAGCUCCUGAUCAGAGUUGGACUAUAAACAUAUAGUUCCGUUGGCCUGGGACUAGAUUCUGAUAGUGAAUCAAUCCAUCUGAUAGUGCAUGUAUACGGAGUCAUUGUGUCGCUGUGGCCGCAAUGAUUAGAUCCCAUCUUGUCGCUUUGGCCUUGAUGCGGAUCACACAAAACCUUGCUUGGGGGGGGAUACUGGUGGUACACGCAUGUUUCUUGUGCUCUCUUCAAGGGGGAGUACUGGUGAGACAUGCAUGAUUACGUCAGUCACUCCCAGCAACGCCCUUCAAUAAGGACUAGGGUUCCGUCGCUUUAUGUCGGACCCCCGGAGAGCUCCACGGUCGCGGGCAAGUGUCUACGUCAGGUACUCAAGUCAACACUGAGAAUCGACGACUGGGACUACCAAGUCGCCGAUUCCGGACCAGGGUAGUGAGUUCUGGUAGACUUUCGACCUGACUCCUAAGAACUCGCCGACUCCACCCUGAAUCGACGACUCCCAUACUUGAGUCGUCGAUUCCUAGUCGUUACUUGACUUGGCCCGCGUCAUUAUGGCACCAUCAAUGGGGCGCCAUAAUGACGUGGGCCCAGGGACAUUGAAUGAGAAACGUCCUAAGGACCCUAUAAAAGGGGCCCUUAGGGGGUCUUCAUUCUCAGGUCAUCUACACUUGACACACCCCACACCAGAGCACAUCUAGGAGCUCGAGUCGCCGACUCUCACAUCUGAGUCGUCGAUUCCCCUCCUCUUCUGCAGGUACAUUGACGUAGAGCGCGCGUCGUGGACUCCAAAGCCUCCAGCCCUCCUCGCAACCCCGCGAGCCCACUGGUAGCAGAUCACGUGCUUCAUCAGGCUCUACGGGAAAAUUUGCCAUCAGCGACAUGUAAUUCGGAUGUCCCUCAGGGAUUUCUUGGAAACACCUACCACAUUGGUUCAGUUCAGGUAACCUCCUGUACGGGUUCUCAAGUCGAUAUUGGGAGAGUUGCACGGGUUCUUCAAUCGCAGGAGGAGGUGGAUAUGGGUAUUGGUUGACGGACAUCGGAGGGCUAUGGACAAGGAACUCUGAUCGCAUAACCGGUUCGUUUGCACGAGAGGUCUGUCCUUGCAUCAUGACGGACUUCCUCUUUCUGAAAGGCCAGCACCCCCGCAUUGCAGAGGUUCUUGGGGGCGAUGGCGUCGAUCAAGGUGACCGACGUCCUGUGUUAACAGGCUUGGGCUCCGGUAAAUCAGCAACAGAACCAUUCUCUGGUUCAUCAUCGCUGAUGAUAAUUAUCUCGUGGAGGUUUCCCCUCCUCCUCCUUACCCGGUUGUUCUCCGGAGCAUUUCUCUUUCGAGAACUCAUUGCGUAACUAUAAACUAACUCAAAAUUAGGUAUAAGUCAUUGCAAUCUAUUAUUGAAGUAUUUGAAAUCUAAAAUUUUGAAAACUAGAUUGGAAUUACCCAAAAUCGAGGGACAAUCACGUAGUAGCAGUGAAAAAAUUUGUAAGAGGAAACCAUCAUAUAACAGUUUAAUAAAAAAGGUAAUCAUCGAAGAAAAGUUUAAUAAAAACAAUAUCUUUCUUGAAUAUGAUGAACCAGGUAGAAAAUAUAUUAUUGAUUUUGGUCGGAAACACAUAGACCAAAUCACAUGUAGUAUACUGCUUAUCAGGAAUUGAAACAAAAAAAUCAGUAGGCAUACGAACAAUAUCCGAUCUACUGGAUAUUUGCCUAAGAAAUUUGGCUAAGAAAUUAAUAAGAAACACCCAUGGACUGAACGUCGAUUGAAAAAUACCUUUUGGUGGAGGAGAUGGAAGAAUGUGGAAAAUCGCUAAUGGAGUGGAGAAUGAGAUGAUUCUUACCGCGACGCAACCCAUGUUUAAAUAGCCAGAUGAAGAACCGGUGUUUGAGUCUUCCAAUCGCCCCUCCCUGUCGUUGCUGGUGUCCGAUGGUCAAAGUCGGUAUGGGUUGAACAAAUCGAAUAUUUGGAAAUGAGAAAAUACUCGAUUAGGUAUGGACUGACGCAGUGACCAGACACCCCCUGUUGGGACGUAGACGUUCAGCGGAUUGCUUGGGGGUGUCCGACAGGACAGACGGGCAUCCGACAUGAUGGGGGGUCUCCGACAAGAUUGGUGUCCGGCAGUUCCUCACGCACCCGUCUGUCCGAAACUGAUGGGAGUGCUCCGACAUAACCUCUGUCCUGACAAUGUAGACCACAACGCUAGUAAGUAGGUUCGGAUAUACAAUUGGAUCUGUGCCGGUCUUGGCAUUGGUAGCGUUGACUCCGGAACGGCCAGGCUAGUGCGUGAGGACCGCCGGAUGGACGUUCGACGGAAGGUCCACAGGGGACGGCCACCCGUCUGUGAAGCCUAGUGUAUAUAUAGAUAGAGAUAUUUUAGCAUGCAGCCACAAUCAGUCGAUCUAGUCAAUUUUUGAAUAAAAAAAAUCAACAGUGUAAAUCGUAGGAUUUGUAAUCAAUAGUCGAUCUUCAAAUAUCCCAAUAUAAAUAUCUCACCAGAAGCGAUCGAACAAUGGUCGUAGUCAUAUUAAUUUUCAAUGCCAUGGCUCGUGGAUUUCUUUCUUGAUUCUAUAUUUUCAUAACUUAUAAUGGAUCGAACAAGCAGUGUAACAAUUUAUUCUUUCAUUCAACUUCAAAGUAUUGGAUAUAUUUCACUAGAAAAUUGCAAUCAUGGUCUGAUGAUGAAUUGAUGAUUAUAUAACAUAUAUAAUUCAGAAAAUAUAACAUCAUGAUCAUGUAUACCAAAGAUUCAAAGAUGGUAAAUAGAAUAUUCAAUAAUUGGCAGCGUUCAUGCGUCUCGAAAUAAUACCUGGAGCAGUAGAAUAUUAAACGAGAUUAUACAACACAGUAAUUAGUAAUAUUUAUAUAUUUUUUAAUAAUAAUAAUAUUUAUUUAUUUUGAAGAGAGAUUGCAACCCUACGAUUUCGAAUUCCAUCGAAUCUCAACUGUCGAUAGAUCGCUAUACGAUUUUAUCUAAUCCAUUUUCUUCUUUUACCAGCACUGAUCGGUUUCCCAAUUUCUCGUCUUCAACCCGGACGUAACCGGAGAAGUUCUCGGCGAUACGGGAUACCCCCUCCUAGAGGAGUAAGAUGAGAACGAAGCCGAUUUGGUGUAGAUUUUGCGGGUCGAAUUAGCAAGAAGAAGAGUCCGAUCGUAUUCUUCCCUCUUUGUUGGGUCGGAAAGGGUGGAGUAAGCAUCCUGAAUCCUCAUGAACUGAUCGGCGGAUUUUUCCUUGGUAUCUCCAGAAGCCACAUCGGGAUGGUACACUCUUGCCAAAUUCCGGUACGCUGAUUUGAUCUCCGGACCUGUCGCGUAAGCACCGACGCCGAGAACGUCGUACAGAGAUGGACUCGGCGGAGCAGUCACGACCGAAAAAUAGGGACUGUAGUUAUAACUCGUGUGAGUGGAGGUCUCUUUCUCGGUCGUGGUAGAAUAAGAUGCCGUGAUCGUCGCAGGACGGCGGGGGGAAGCGAUCGGCGAAAUCGAAGGUGGACGGUGGAGAUCGAGUUGUGAAGGACAGAUGACGCUGAAGGAGGACAUCGACGGUGCAGAUGUAUUGAUCAUGGCGCACUGCGUGUUGUGAUUAUGGUUUGUUACAACUUACAACUCGUAAUUCAAGUAAUAAUUCAAGUAAAAAAAAAGAUAAAAUUAGAAUGCUUGCCGUGGCGUGAGGGAUUUAUAUUAAUAGAAAGAUGGUCUGGAAAAUUUGGCAAUUGGAAUUUGGAAUCUUGCUGUUAAUUUAAUUUAAAAUAUCGAGUCGAUCAACUUCAGGUAUGGUCAAAUUUGCAAAAUAAAUCUUAUAAUUAUUUAUAUUUUAUAGAUGUGUCCGGAUACAGGUUCAUCCUGAUCUAUAUGUUUUUUUGUUUGUCUUUUUUUGAAAUUAUUUAACAUUCGUUUGAAUAAAUCAAAUUGUUCGUUAUGACUUUUUAUGUGAAGACGGUGCUAGAAACUAUAAAUGAUCAUAAUGCCAUUUUUUUCUUGAUGGAAGAAAAUGACAACGAUCAUAUCUUUAAACAAUGAAAUAAAUGACGAGUGAUUGAGUGCUGACCCCGCGUUUGGUGGAUAUUAUUGAUAGCCGUAAUUGGAUAUCAAUAAGGGUAAAAAAAUUAGUGGUUAACUUAAAUCAGUACUAAUUAAUGCUUAAACUCUCUUUUCAAUAUUAUAAAGUAACCUUUUUGAUUUUUUAAACCUACCUAAUUGUUCGGUAGUUAGUUGUUGCUAACCUCCAUAAUCCAUCGUCGGCGUGGAUGAGCAUCAGAAGGGCGUCACAUUGAUGCAGCGCCCUCUGUUCAUCCGCGGAUCUAUGUCUUCUUCUGAAUUUUCCCUCGUCAAACCCAAUUCCGGCCAUCUCGAUGCAUCUCCACAAUACCACCUUUCUCGGGUCGGCCGUGGCUUUCAUUCUCCUCUGAUUAUGUUGCUUCCAGACGUGGAAUAUAUAGGAUUAUGCCGAACAUGUUCCAUUGCAAUCCCCAUGCCGGCGAUCCCAUCGUGACUCUGUUUAGUACUCGACCUGCAUUUUCAAAGGUGUUUGCGUUUGUCAAGUCUACUAGUGAUCCCGUUGCUUCCAUUCCUUCUUUUAGUAUCCAUCUUGUGUAUUCGCAAUUGAAGAACCGAUGGCCUGCACUUUCUUGUUCGACCUCGCAUAGGCUGCAUUUCUCACAAAUUGUCAUUCCUUGCAUGAUGAUCAGCAUGUCCUUUGCUGGCAGGUUGCCCCAUCUAAUACGCCACAGAUUGAGCACGACCUUCUCGAUCUUGUUCUUCCAUAUUCCUUUGGCGAGGUCGUCCUUUGGGUGCUCUGGCUACAGAGUCGACUUCGCGUUCUUGAUUGAGUGUCUUGUUCCUUUGCCCAACUAAGUUUUUAAAUUGUUUGGUCGCAGGUUCACGCAUUUUGCUAUGUGGGCUUUCUGCCGAAGAGUGGCCUUCCAAGUCGACGAGUCUCUUUGUCGCUGCUCGAUUGCGUGGAGUGGUCUAGCUUUGAUGUAUAUUCUGCACAUCUAUGAGCUCCAGAUCCCCUCCCUCUCCCACAUACGACACACUCUGUCCACGAUAGCGACCAAUUGGGUCGUUUUAUAAUCCCGAACUCCCAUAUCACGCGCCCUGCCGUUUAGUUUUCACCAUAUUUUUCCAAGCUACCUCCUUUUGAGUGCCCCAUAUGAACUUGUAGUAAUCGCUUAGAUUGCGUCGAGAGCAGCCUGAGGGACGAUGCUACUCUGAGUCAGGUAUCUGAAUUUCCACUGGAAUAUCCAGUCUACCAGUUGGGUUCGGCCUACGUAUGACAGCUUCUUUGUGCUCCAUCGUGUUAAGAUGUUCCUGAGCUCCGUCAGUAGUCCAUCACAAUCUCUAUACCGCACUAAUUUCCCAGUCAGGGGGUACCCAAAUACUGGAUUGGCAAUUCUCUUGUCUGGAAGCCAAGAAUGUCGGCCAGCUUCUCCUUGUCGUGGACUCGCUUUGAGAAGAUCGCAAAGCUCUUCUCGCUGUUGAUGUUUAGACAUGAGAAGGUAGUGAAUUCGUUAGGUAUCGCUUUUAGCGCUCUGAAAGACUUGCUUGAUGCUUGACAGAAAAAGGCUAUGUCAUCGGCGAAUGCGAGAUGGCUUUCGAACAUCACCCCUCCUGAUGUAUAAAGCUCGAUUUUCCUGCUUCGUGUCACAUGAGAGACGAGCUUGGAUAGGUAGUCCCCCACUACGACGAAUAGGAGUGGUAAGAGCGGAUCGUCUUGCCUGAGUCCUCUCGUCGGCCUGAUAAUGUCGGUCGGCGAGCCCUCCACUAACGCCGAUAAUGGUGAUGUCGUGAAAUGAGACAUUAUCAUUUGUCGGAAUGCCUCAUCGAUACCAAGUAGCUCCAGUACUAUCUCAAUUGCAUCCCAUCUCAACGUAUCGAAUGCCUUUGAAAAAUCAAUCGUGAUGCAAGCUCGCCGGGACAUGCUUUUGCAAUUAUAAGAUUGAGUGAAUUUUUGCUCGAGGCCAAUAGCAUCCGUGAUUUUUCUCCCCUUGAUGAAGGCUAUUUGGUUUGGGAUGAUUAUUCCUAACAAUACCUUCAUUAUAGCCUUGAAACCAGUAGCUUGGUGAAUAUCUUGCAUAAUACCCCAAGACACGAUAUCGGUCUGUAGUCCUCAAGCCUUUUCGAUGUCGUUUUUUUUUGGAUCAGGGUUAGCACUGCUAGAUUUAGAGACCGGAGCAUUCGCCGAAGAAAUAAAGAAUUGUAGUUAUUAUAUCACUCUUUACCGUGUUCCAGUGGAAUGCUAGGAUUUUCGAUGUGAUUCCGUCCAUCCCGACGCUUUUCCGUUUGGCAUGCUUAUGAGGGAAUCCCAGACUUCCUCUAUGUUUUUUUGUUUGUCUUUUCUUGAAAUUAUUUAACAUUCAUUUGAAUAAAACAAAUUGUUCGUUAUGACUUUUUCGUGAUGGUAUGCCAUUUUUUUCUUGAAAGAAGAAAAUGACAACGAUCAUAUCUUAAACAAUGAAAUAAAUGGAGUGAUUGAGUGCUGACCCGGCGUUUGGUAGAUAUUAUUUGAUGGUGUGCUGACUUACGUUAAAAAAUUCACACACACAACUCUAUAUUAUUCUUUCUUGAUAAUUUUCAACCCCCUUUUUUGUUGGAUCAGGGAAGAUAUUUAUAAAACAUUUUCUUGGACCUUCUGGACCUUAUGAUCUGUUCGGCCACAUUAUUGAUAACCGUAAUUGGAUUUAUUCAAUUACUAAUUUUCCAUAUGAUAAAUGAUAAUUAUAAUAAUAAUAAUAAUAAUAAUGAUGAUUACAGAAAAAACGCGUAAACAAUUUGAAUUUUGGUCUUUUGGACCACAAAAAUAUUUGGACUCGAUUAAUGUGUAAAUUUUGUAAUCUUGAAAAAAAGUAUUUAUGGGCCAAUUGCAUAAAAUUCUUCAGAUUACUGUAAUAAUAAAUCUAACUACACUCCCGUUACAUUUCAGUUGUAUAACAGAUAUCGAUUGGGAGGUGGUGCAGAGAGAGGGAGAGAUAUAUUGCCGGAGGAAACCCUCAAAUGGCAUCGCCGAAACCAGAGAAGCCUUGGAAGGCGGAGUACGCCAAGUCGUCGAGGUCGUCAUGCAAGUCGUGCAAGAGCCCUAUCAGCAAGGAUGUCUUGAGGUUUGGGAAGAUGGUUGUCGCCACGCAGUUCGAUGGAUUCAUGCCUGUAAAACCUUUUUCUCUGUCCAUCAGUUGAAAUGCUAUUCUUCGUCUUUUUUUUUGAAGCAGCUUCGUCUUUUUUUUGUUUGCUUGCAAUCUUGCAUUAUUUCUUGAUAUUCUUCAGUCUUCCCCCAACGAUCGUUCGGUUUCCUAGGGUUUAUGCUCUGAUGAUAUAGUGCAAUGAGUGAGUGCAUUGAAUGAGUGGUAAGAGGUAAAAUACGUAGAGUGGUAGCUUUUCUAGAUGGUGUCAUCUUUGAACUGUUUAUAUGCAAAGGAUUUUAGAUAGGCCUGUAAAUCAGUCGGAUCCGGAUACCAUAUUCAGAUAAUCCGAAUAAUAUCUGGAUAGGAAAAUCCGAAUCGGAAUCUAUUAGUGAUAUGAUACAUAUAUAUGAUGUGAUGCAUGUAUAUGAUGUGAUGCAUGUAUAUGAUGUGAUGCAUAUAUGAUGUGAUAUUAUGAUGCAUAUGUGAUACAUAUAUGAUAUGAUACAUAUGUGAUACAUAUAUGAUAUGAUACAUAUAUAUGAUACGAUACGAUAUGAUAUGAUACGAUACGAUAUGAUACAUACAUAUGAUAUGAUACAUAUAUAUGAUAUGAUAUGAUGCGAUACAAUAUAUAUUAUUGUAGUAUUAAGUUGUAUAUAUAUGAUACUCAUUGUGAAUGAAAAGGGAUCGAGUAUCUCUCCUACUUAUUUACAUCUCUUAUAUGGUAUCAGUUUGUUAGAGAGAGAGAGCUUCCCCGAUCCUGGAUUUUCUCCUCAACAGUCCUUCAUCUUCUUGAAUUCCGCUGCAAUGGAGGACGACACUGUUGAUAGGAGUGGAGUCGCAAAUUCAGAUGUUUCCAAGAUUGUUUUCAUCAAGCAUCUGAAGACUGUGACGCUGGACCACUCAAACUACUUCGCUUGGCGCGCGCAAUUCGUCGUCAUCUUGCGAGGACAUGAGCUGCUGGAUUUCGUCCAUGAGAGAAUUGACCUAUUGGAUGCUAUGUUCAGCAAACAGGAUCAAUUGAUCCAAGGAUGGCUACUAUCGGCCAUGUCUGCACCGAUGCUCGCAUAUGUAACUACAUGUAGCACAUUGGCUGAGGUAUGAAAUGUUUUAUAGAUCGAAUUUGCAUCGAGCUCUAGGUCUCUAGUGCUUACGUUACGGCAGAAAAUUCAAUCGGUUAAGAAAGGGAGUCGAUCGGUCUCCGAUUACAUUGUGGAGAUCAAUUCCCUCGUGGAGGCACUAGCAAUUGCAGGCGAGAAGAUAGAUGAUCCAAAUCUUGUAUUACUUGUCUUGCAAGGUCUUGGAGAGGAAUAUGAGUCUCUCAUCCAGAAUGUUACAUCAAGAGAUGGUGAGAUUACAUAUCGCAAACUCCAAUCUAUGCUAACUGAUUUGGAAGAACGAGAAUUCAGAAGAACAAAUUCCACAUCUAUGACGAUGUUGUCACUGAGGUAAAGGAGAAGGGAUAUAAGGAUCUUAAAUCUAUACCAUGUCAAAUGUGCACAAGAAAAGGACAUGGGGCCCUACACUGUUAGAAUAGGAUCAAUUUAUCCAAAUUUUCUCCUACUCAUGGUCGAACUCUGUCAUCUACUGGCAGUCUGGCCCAACUAAGGUAGCCACUACAUCAGCAAACAUGAUUUAUGAUAAUUUUGUUUGGUAUCCUGAUGCAGAGCAUCUUAAUGCAUUAUAUAAUAAAAGUGCUUAUUAUAAUUUUCAGCAUGCCAAUAAAUGCCUCAACCCUGGAAUUAAUAGCAUUGGGUCUCAGCAUGCCAAUAAAUACCCCAACCCUGGAAUUAAUAGCAUUGGGUUUCAGCAUGCCAAUAAAUGCCCCAACCCUGGAAUUAAUAGCAUUGGGCCUCAACUGAAAGGACACACUCCUGAACAUACCCAAGCUUGGCUCGAGCCAUUGUGUUUCACCUUUGAAGCCAUUUAGACUCACAUUGUGGAGGCUGUCCACUACACACAAUGUGAGUAUAAAUACCAAGUGGACCCAAAGGAGGGUUACUUUUUGCUUGAUAUUUGUGAGGUAUAUUUUCUCUCUCUUCUCCUUGUGACUUUCUAUCUCCCAAUUCUUCUUCUUUUUUUCUUCCUUCUUUUUUUCUGUAAUUUCGGCCAGGACAAAAACCAAUUGGUGGAUUCAUCACUCUUCUCACCCUUCAGAACAGAGUCACAUUGUUCUGCAUUAAGUGGUAUCAGAGCUUGCGAUCCAUGGCUGAUCAGUUUGUUUCCAGACAAGAGUUUGAUCAGCUCACUCAGACACUAGCAGAUCUAGUUGUUGCUGUGAAUGAUCUGCGUCGAUCAUCUGUCCAGCCACCUCCAGUGCCGCCAAGACCUCCCUCAAUUCGAUGGCCAUAUGCACAUUGAUACUUUCUUGGACUGGAUUUCUGUAGCAGAUAAAUAUUUUGAUUAUAUGAAUACUCCCGAGUCAAGGAAGGUAAAAUUGGUAGCACUAAGGUUAAAGGGUACUGUUCAUAGCUGGUGGGACCAAACAGUAUACCUAAGAGCUAAGCAUCAAAAGAGACCUGUGAAGACGUGGGACAAGAUGAGGAAGCUCAUGAGACAGAGAUUUUUGCCCACAGAUUAUGAGAGCACACUCUUCAUUCAGUACCAACAGUGCAAACAGGGCAAUAGAACAAUUUUUGAUUAUGCAAAUGAUUUUCACAGGUUAUCAUCAAGGACACAUCUCGAAGAAUCUGAAGAACAAUUGGCCACCAGGUUUGUGAGUGGGUUGAAAGAAAAAUUACAAUAUAAAAUGGCUGUCAACCCUCAGUACAGCCUAUCGAGUGCAAUUAAUUUGGCUGAAAGGUUAGAGCAACACUCGAAUAAAUUUUAUAAAGCAAAUUCUGGUGCAUCCUCUAGUAAAACAGUAGCUGAAAAGGACAAGGGAAUUAUACCUACUCCUAAAAGGAAGGAAAUUACUACAGGUACAAUUGAUCCAGCAAUGGUAAAAAUUAAAUGCUACCGAUGUCAGGAGUUUGGGCACAAAUCAAACACUUGUCCAAAGAGGGGACAAGUCCGAUUAUUUGAGGACAGAGGACCUAUUGAGGACUAGCAUACAGUGCAAUCUGAUUCUGAACCUGAAAAUGAGGACUAUCCCGAUGAAGGACCAUCUUUGUCAUGUCUGAUUCAUAAAACUUACAGUGUCCUACCUAUCACUGAUUUAUCUCAGAGGUCCAAUCUGUUCAGGACCAGGGGAACUAUUCAUGGCAAGGUAUGCACCAUCAUUAUUGAUAAUGGGAGUACAGAUAACCUUAUCUCAGAAAAAGCAGCAAAGAAGUUGUGGCUCGAAUUUGAAGACCACCCCCACCCUUAUACAGUGGGGUGGAUCAGAAAUGACGACAAAGUACAAGUGAAGUAUUGCUGUAAAGUGCCAUUGUCAAUUGGAAAAAAUUAUAAAGGAGUAGUACGUUGUGAUAUAGUGGACAUGGAUGCAACCCAUGUGCUCCUUGGGAGGCCUUGGCAGUUUGAUAUGGAUGCUAAUCAUAGAGGACGCCUGAAUCAAUAUAUUAUCAAGGUAGAUGACAGAAGAGUUGCCUUGUUACCUCUUCCUCCGAAUUCAGAGACAACACAACAGAAACCUAAUUUUCUGAUCCAAACUCAUAAGAUUUUUGAGAAAGAAUUAAUGACUGAAUUGCAGAGUUUUGCCCUAAUCUCUAAAGGAAAAGACAAUGUGAUGGAUGACUCAAUUCCAUAUUGUGUGACAAACAUCUUGAAUGAAUUUCCAGCUGUAACUUCAGACAAAACAGCAGAACUUCCAUCUAUCAGAGAUCUGGAUCACAGAAUAGACUUCAUACCUGGAGCUUCUAUACCCAAUCUGCCUCACUACCGAUUGAGUCCUAAAGAAGCUGAUAUCCUAUAAAGUCAAGUAGAAGAGUUACUCAAGGAUGGACUUAUUAGACCUAGCAUAAGUUCAUGUGCUGUACCUGCCCUAUUAGUACCCAAGAAGAAUGGUGAAUGGAGAUUUUGUGUGGACAGCAGAGCCAUUAACAAAAUAACCAUCAAGUACCGUUUCCCUAUUCCGAGGUUAGAAGAACUCCUUGACCAAUUAAGUGGCGCACAAUUUUUCACCAAAUUAGACCUCAAGAGUGGCUAUCAUCAGAUCCGAAUCAGAGGUUGAGAUGAGUGGAAAACUGCCUUCAAAACAAGGCAAGGUCUUUAUGAAUGGCUUGUGAUGCCAUUUGGGCUAUCCAAUGCCCCUUCUACCUUCAUGAGGUUGAUGACAGAAAUUCUUAAACCCCUCCUAAGAGCUUGUGUAGUGGUGUAUUUCGAUGACAUACUUAUAUUCAGCCACUCAAGAGAUGAUCAUUUAAGAGAUAUCAGAAAGGUACUUACCAUCCUUGACAACAACAAACUUCGGUUAAAUUUAAAAAAAAUGUGAAUUCUUAGUCCAGGAAGUAUUCUUUUUGGGUUUCAUAGUUGGUAGGCAGGGUUUAAGGGUAGAUCCACAGAAAACUACAGCAGUUGAUAAUUGACCUCAACCCUUCAACGUCACUGAAGUCAGAAGUUUCUUAGGCUUGGCCUCCGUCUAUAGAAGGUUCAUCAAGAAUUUCAGCUCUAUUGCAAGUCCAAUUUCUGAUUGCUUAAAGAAGGGUCAAUUCCUGUGGUCAAAAGAGGCAGAAAUAGCUUUUAAGUUGCUUAAAGAAAGGUUGAAAUCAGCUCCUGUUCUAGCACUUCCUGAUUUUGAAAGAGUGUUUGAAUUAGAGUGCGAUGCAAGUAUUAUGGGAGUUGGGGCAGUUCUGAGUCAAGGGGGACACCCCGUAGCAUUCCACAGUGAGAAGUUAUCUAUGGGAAGAAGAAACUGGACAACUUAUGAACAGGAGUUGUAUGCACUAGUUAGAGCUUGUAAGGUGUGGGAGCCAUAUCUGAGUGGGAGGGAAUUUGUGGUAUCUACUGAUCACCUAACAUUAAAACACAUUAACAAGUCAGCAAACACGAACAGAAUGCAUGCAAGGUGGAUUUCGUAUCUUCAAAAAUUCGAUUUCACAAUCAAGCACCAAGCUGGAAAGAAUAACACAGUUGCUGAUGCACUCAGUAGAAGAAGAUUUGUACUCACUAUCAUGAGGGCAACAAUAACAGCAUUUGAUGCUAUCAAAACUUCGUAUGACUGUGAUGAUGAUUUUUCUGAAAUCUGGAAAGAAUGUGAAGCUGGAGAACAGCCAACAGGAUUCAAAAUUGAAGAGGGUUUUCUAUUCAAACAGAACAGACUAUGCAUCCCGAAAACUUCACUUCGAUUACAGUUAAUACAGGAGACACAUGCUGGGGGUUUAGCAGGACACUUUGGAAGAGACAAAGUGAUUUCUCAGCUGGAAUCGAAAUUUUAUUGGCCAUCUUUGAAGAGGGACACAGAAAAAUUUAUUCAGAGGUGCCAAACGUGUCAAGAAGUAAAGGGAGUUAGGCAAAAUACUGGAUUAUAUAUGCCUCUACAAAUUCCAACUCAGCCUUGGACAGAUCUUUCUAUGGAUUUCGUACUUGGACUGCCCAAAACUAAAGCUGGAUUUGAUUCUAUAUUUGUAGUAGUAGAUAGAUGCCAAUAAAUGCCUCAACCCUGGAAUUAAUAGCAUUGGGUUUCAGCAUGCCAAUAAAUGCCCCAACCCUGGAAUUAAUAGCAUUGGGCCUCAACUGAAAGGACACACUCCUGAACAGAUCCAAGCUUGGCUCGAGAUGGCUCGAGCCAUUGUGCUUCACCUUUGAAGCCAUUUAGACUCACAUUGUGGAGGCUGUCCACUGCACACAAUGUGAGUAUAAAUACCAAGUGGACCCAAAGGAGGGUUGCUUUUUGCUUAAUAUUUGUGAGGUAUAUUUUCUCUCUCUUCUUCUUGUGACUUUCUAUCUCCCAAUUCUUUUUCUUCUUUUUUCCUUCUUUUUUCUGUAAUUUCGGCUAGAACAGAAACCAGUUGGUGGAUUCCAAUCUGAUUUCUUCCCUCUUUACUGAUUAUCAAGAAAAGAUUCAUCACGCUUCUCACCCUUCAGAACAGAGUCACAUUGUUCUGCAUUAUAUCCAGACUCAGGUGCCACAAAUCAUGUGACAAAUCAGGUGGCAAAUAUCCAGAAAAUGUCACAAUAUGAAGGUAAUCGAAUGAUUUUUGCUGCAUAUGGUAAUCCUAUGUCUAUUACACAUACUGGAUCUUCUGCUCUUAUUUCUAAUAACAAGAAUUUUGUUAUUAAUGAUUUGUUAUCUGUUCCAUCGGCAUCCAAGAACUUGCUAUCUGUGAAGAAAUUUUGCACUGAUAAUUUUGUAUCUAUUGAAUUUCAUCCACAGAAGGUAAUGGUAAAGGAUCUGGAUUCAGGAGAGUUACUAAUUGAAGGAGAUUCUGGUGAUGGAUUAUACAAGCUUCUUGUCCAAAUAAAUCAAAUGGAGGUCAAUCAAGUGAUAGAAGGGAAGGCUACGGUUAGAACUUGGCACCAUCGAUUGGGACACCUCCACACUAGAGCUAUGAAGUCAAUGGCUAAGAAAAACAUCAUUAAAUUUUCAGGUAUUUGUAAUGAUGAUAUUAAUUGUGAUUUUUGUCAUAUCAGCAAAAUUCACAAAAAUCCACAUAUAUCAAGAAAUACGAUUUAUGCCAAUCCUUUGCAGCUUAUAUUCGCUGAUGUAUGGGGUCCAGCACCAUGUAGUUCUAAUGAAGGGUAUAAAUACUAUUUGAACUUUGUAGAUGCAUCGACAAAUUAUAAUUGGCUAUAUCUCCUUCGAGCAAAAUCAGAAGUUUCUGAAUGUUUUCUCAGAUUUCGUGUUUUGGCAGAAAAACAAUGCGAUUUUAAGAUCAAGGCAUUGCAAACUGACAAUGCCAAGGAGUUCUUAAAGCUAGAUGAAAUUCUGAAUAAAAGUGGAAUUGUGCACAGAUUGAGUUGUCCUCACACUCACCUACAGAUAGGUAAAGUUGAGAGAAGACAUCGACAUAUUGUCGACACUGGACUUGCUAUAUUAAAGCAUGCUAGCUUGCUUGCCCACUGAAUUUUGGGAUUAUGCAUUUAUGACUGCAAUUCACAUCUACAAUCGCAAUCCUACUCAGUUGUUAGAAGGCAAAUCACCAUUGGAAGCUUUAUUUCAACAGUCUCCGGAAUAUGGUAAAUUAAGGGCAUUUGGUUGUAAAUGUUUUCCUAAUUUACGUCCAUAUCGAACUAAUAAAUUGCAGGACAAAUCAAAGCCUUGCAUUUUCUUAGGAUAUCCGACUACAUGUGAAUUGUGAUGGUUAUAUAUGUAUGAAUCCCGAUGAUGGGAAGGUGUAUAUUUCCAGAGAUGUUAUAUUCAGAGAAGAUGAUUUCUUUUUGAGUGAGAAAUUAAAUAAUAUUUUUCAGGCCCCUAAUCAGGCGAUUCAGAAUGCAGGGAAUGUCAUAACAGUGGAAAAUAUUUCCCAAUCUGAUGUAGCACAUCCAUAAUGGCACUAGGAAAGAGGCCAUUUCCUUUAAAUCAAACAUGGACCAAAAACCCAUUUCCUUUAAAGAAGGCCCAUCAUUACAUGGAGAGUAUAUAUAUGGAGGAUAGAGGAUGGAAUUGGCAGUUUUUGAUUUAUUUGAUAAAGUUGUUAUUUCCUGGACAGGUAAUAAACCUUCUAUUUUCUCUUUCUCUUCUCUUGUAUUUUCUGGUGGAUUCCAGUGUUUUUCCCUCAUCUUCUGUGGAUUCAGAAGAUUUAUCAAGCACCUGAUCUUCACUAAGAUCAGCUGCAUCACAAUCAGACAAUGCAAUGGCAAGCACAGAUGUGAACACAAGUCCAGAGAACAUAUCUGAUUCAGUUCAUACUACUCAGUCUGUUCAUCCUGAGCUUAUUAGUAGAAGUACUUCUUCUCAAAACAGUCCAUUAAUUCAGACUCAAGAUGUCACUCUGACAUCUCAUUCAGAUCCAAUUAUUUCAGUUGAUCAAAUAUCUUCUCCAAUUAAUCCAGUUGAUUAGAUAUCCUCUCCAAUUUCUUCAGAUUCAAGCUCUAGAGAUGAGUUCUCAAUUUCAAAAUCAGUAAAAUUAACUGAUUAUGAGAGGCGCCCCUUCACUAGAGGAGCUGCAGGGAUUAAGAAGCCUAAUCCUAGGUAUGCAUUGUCUAUAUCAGCUUCUGAAAUUUCAGUUCCAUCUUCAGUCAAGCAAACUUUGGAGAAUGAAGGAUGGAAAUCAGCUAUGAAGAAAGAAUUGGUACCAAGGAUGCCAACAGACAAUGUGAUUAAUUCUAUAUGGCUCUUUAAAGUCAAAGAAAAAUCAGAUGGCAGUGUGGACAGAUUGAAGGCAAGGCUAGUGGCAAAUGGGAGUAAUCAGAUUGAAGGUAGAGAUUACAACGAGACAUUCAGUCCAGUUGUAAAAUCUGUAUCUAUUUGUGCAGUAUUAACUAUUGCAGUCUCAAGAGGUUGGAAACUUAAUCAAAUUGAUAUAGGUAAUGCAUUUUUACAUGGUCAAUUGGAAGAGAGAAUUUGAAUGCGUCAACCUAAAGGCUUUAUUGAUGAAUCAUGUCCGAAUCACGUCUGCCUAUUGAAGAAAGCUAUCUAUGGUCUCAAACAAUCUUCAAGGAUGUGGUUUAACAGACUAAAAAUGGUGCUGAAUUUAAUGGGUUUUAUACCAAGCCAAUCUGAUCCUUCAUUGUUUGUGCACUUAGGUGAAUGUACAAUUUAUAUACUUGUCUCUGUUGAUUAUAUGAUUAUCACAGGAUCAGACACAGCUAAGGUUGAUGAAGUGUUUGCAAAAUUGGGUGAAGAAUUCGCUGUCCACAAGCUAGGAGAGUUGAAUUAUUUUUUGGGUAUUAGAGUCCAAAAACAUUUACAUGGGCUAUUCUUAGAUCAGCAAUUAUAUCUUGUGAACUUGCUGAAAUUCAAUAAAUUUGACAAUUUAAAACCAUCUCCUACUCCAAUGGAAGCAAAUUCAGACCUAUAUUCAGAAGAAGAUAUGAUCUCAAAUCCUACUGAUCAUCGAAGAAUUGUAGGAUCGUUGCAGUAUCUUACUUUAUCACGUCCUGACAUCUCCUUUGCGGUAAGUAAAUUGGCUCAACAUUUGGAGAAACCCAAACCUAUUGACUGGACUGCUAUGAAGAGAGUAUUGAGAUAUCUCUCUGGUACUCAAAACAUGGGAAUUAUCUUGAGAAAAGUAGCUGAUUUUAACAUUACAACAUACUGCGAUGCAGAUUGGGCCAAUGAUGUGGUUGACAGAAGAAGUCAAACAGAAUACAUGAUAUAUAUUGAGGAUUCUUUAAUUUCCUGGGCUUCUAAAAAGCAGUCUACUGUUGCUAGGUCAAGCACAAAAUCUGAAUUUAGAGUUAUUGCAUUAACAAUCGCUGAGAUUGAAUGGAUGAAUUCUCUAUUGAAAGAAUAGGGAAUUUAUCUAAAAUCACCUUACAAGUUGUUUUCUGAUAAUUUAGGAGCAACUCAUUUGGCUGCCAAUCCGGUUUAUCACUCCAAAAUCAAACAUGCAGCCAUGGAUUUCAGAUUUGUUUUAGAAAGAAUGGAGGACAAAAUUCUUGUUGUGCAACACAUACCGAAUGUUCUACAACAAGCAUAUAUUCUCAUUAAAACAUUGAAGCCCAAACUCUUCAAAGAUCUCAAGGACAAACUGAUUUGUUCACAUCAUCAGACUUGAGGGGGGAGUAUUAGUGAUAUAAUACAUAUAAAUGAUAUGAUAUAUAUGAUACGAUACGAUACCGAUUAGUGAUAUGAUAUAUAUUAUUGUAGUAUUAAGUUGUAUAUAUAUGAUACUCAUUGUGAAUGAAAAGGGAUCCGAGUAUCUCUCCCACUUAUUUACAUCUCUUAUAGAAUUUGAAUUCGGAUAAAUUUCUGAAUAUCCGAAAAUCCGAAUCUAGAUAACUUUUUAUAAAUUUUUUAAAAAAUCUUAAAAUAAAAUUAUAAAAUUAUAAGAUCACCCUGAAUAAAGUUAAUUAAUAGUCAAUUAAUCACCUUAAAAUCCGGACAAUCCAGAUAUCCGGAAGUCAAUUUAUUUUUAUUCGGAUAUCCGAAUCCGGAAUUAUCAACCGAAUUCAGAUUUUAACGGCGGAUCAACUGAAUUCGAAUAAACAUAUUUGAAAAUGGAUACGAAUAUAUAUUUUGGUAUACCAUUUACAUGCUUAAUUUUAGAUGUAUAUUGUUAUGUCUUAAUGUGAUAUUUUAAAAAAAACACAAUACUUUUGGAGUUUUUGUUUACAUUAGAGUAACUUAUUAUUACCGGAACACCAGAUCAUACAAUAUUUUUCUGUUUAUGCCAUAUUUGAGGUUCGUUGUUCUUGACAAUCACAUUAUUUUUUUAUUUGAUAAAGAUGUAAUAUUAUUUAGAAUAUAUGUAUAUAUAUUUUUUGUUUUUUAAUGACAUUUAUCUCAUGAGUUUUUGGCCUUUUGCUUUUGUAACAAGUCAGAUGUGGAAUCAUUCAGCUUGCAUAUUCAAGAAGGCAAAUCAAAUAAAAUCGUAUGUAUAAGUUUUUUUUUUUAUCUAAGUCUUAUUCUCAAAUACUGUUUUUUUUAUAGAAUUACUGUAUUAGUAGAGAUCAAAUAAUACGAAAUUAUGACCUGACAUGAUCACACCAGACCCCCAAGCGUUUGUGUUCAUCGUAGACUCUUGUAUCCGAUCAGGGUUCAGGUCUCCUGACCCUUUCAUACAUAUUUCUCAUAAGUGUGGUUUUACAGUUUGGGUUUUAGUCACAUAACCGUUCGGAAGCCUUAUCUUAUUAUUGAGUGUAAUCUCAAUAGUCAAACCCAAAUUUCAAUUAUAAUGAUUUUAACGUUACUAUCAUAUACUAAUUUCAUUACAAGUUGUCGGUUAUAUUUUCUAACAAAUUUACAUUUCACUGACUAUCUAACUGGUGUUUUUUUUAAUAUCACAAUUUUUAGGAUUGACGAUGUCGAAGGUGCAGACUUGCUUCGCUGGGAAGAUCAACAAAAGAUAAAAGAUUACGUCGAGUCAGGAUCCAUGGGUACAAAAGAUGGCUCUUUGAGUACAAAAGUUAGUGAUGGGGAAUGUGGAAUUGAGAUAUCAAAAUCCUCACGUUCGACAUGUAGGAAGUGUAAUGAAAAGAUUAUGAAAGGAAUGGUAGGAUCAUUAGAGUAUAUCAAUUUAUUUCCUAUAUCAUUUUAUACUAUGUUAAUUAGGAUAUUAAGUGAUAGUCAAGGCGAUUAUUAUUUUUUUUUAGGUUCGGGUAUCACUCAAGCCUCAUGGACAAGGUGCAAAAGGUUUAGCUUGGCAUCAUGUGAAAUGCUUCUUUGAUAUGUCACCAUCGGCAGUGCUUGAAAAGUUGUCAGGUUGGGAGAUCCUUCCUACUCAAGAUAAAGAAGAGGUUUGUUCUACGGUGAAAAAUAUUUCGGCACUUAAUAAAAAAGGUUACAGAUUCUUAAUCACAUACAAAAUAUCUAAGAUCUGUGGAUAAAUUGAAUCCUCAAAGUUUUUAUGUUUUCAAUUAAUCAUUCUUCAUCUGGUUUCAGAAUCCGAAGCUCAAGAGAAUAAAGCUGACAGUUUGGAUAAAAAAAAUUUAAAAGCUACCAAACGCAGCAAUGUUAGCGUUGAACAUGAGUCAAAGACCCCAAAAAUAGGAGAAAAUACUUCUGCUGGUGGGAUAUCUAGGAAAGGCACUGCUAGCAGUUCAAGUGCUAUUGAUUUGGAGAAAAUGUUGGAAGAACAAACUAAAAUACUCUGGGCUAUAAAAGACGAGCUUAAAAAGAAUGUGACAGUUAGAGAGUUGCGAGAGAUGCUUGAUGUCAAUGGGCAAGAUUCUGGGGGUUCAGAAUAUGAUUUAAGGGAACGUUGGUAAGCUUACAAGAGCGAUAUUGUGAUCAAUAUUUCAUAUUUAGAUAUUUUUAUGAUAAUAAAUUUUAUUAAUAAUACAAGAUUGGAUUAUUAAUAGUCAGGGUAGAGUUUUGGAAUGACUCGCAUAGUGACCAUGCUGCAAUGCUCAUCUCAAUUACGCAAAUGACACAGAAACCAAAGCCUUUCAGAUUGUUCGAUUCAUGGUUGAAGGAGCAAGAGUUCCUCGACCUAGCUAGGAGAGGACUAUCUAAACCAAUCUGCGGCAAUGGACUAUAUUGCCUAUACAAUAGAAAUUAAAAGAGGCCAAAUUACUCACAAAGGAAUGGGCGGCGGCCAAGAGUAGUGAUGCAAAACAGAUCACAACCACCAGGGAGGAACUCGAUUCCCUGAUGAAGCAACUAAACACAAGUCCAAUAGCCCCUUCUAUCCAAGAAGAGGUCAAAAAGAAGCAGGAGGAGUUAGUCAAUAAACUCAAAAUAGAGGAGGCUAACCAAAAACAGAGGAGCAAGGUUAGUUGGCUUAGAUUAGGAGACUCAAACACUAAGUUCUUUAGUCUUGUUACAAAGAUAAGGAAGGCAAAGAACUCAACUCUGAAAUUAAUAAAUGGAGAAGGUAGGGUAGUCAUCUCAAGAGCCCAAUUAGAAAAAAGGAGUAUGGAUUACUUUAAGGAUAUUUACAAGAGUUCUCCCUUCCCAGAUAUACCUUCUCCUGUUAUUUUCCUUAGGAUUGUAUCUCAAGAUAUAACAUAUGGUUGACUCAACAACCCACAAAAGAGGAAGUUAAAUCCACCUUUUCGUAUUCCAAAUGGGGAAAUCCCCAGGACCCUGAUGGUUUCACAGUGGGUUUCUUCAAAGCUCUCUGGUCGGAACUAAAGCAAACAAUCUUAACUUGUGUCAGACAGUUCUUCAAUGGCAAACCCAUAUUGAAGUCGGUUAAUCACACAUUUAUCACACUUAUCCCAAAAAACCCACAGCUACCGAACUAUCAGAUUUUAGGCCAAUCUCUUGUGUCAACUUAAUUUACAAACUGUUCACCAAAAUCCUAGCUGACAGAAUCGCCAAGGUCUCCUCUGAGUUAAUAUCUCCUCACCAAACAACUUUCAUAGCAGGAAGAAACAUCUCAAAUAACACCAUCUUGGCAGACGAGAUGGUACAUGUCUUCAGGAGAAUUAGAACUCCCAAAAGAUGUUUAAGUAUCGAUCUCAAAAAGGCUUUCGAUACAGUGAAAUGGCAAGCAAUCACACACACCCUUGACGCAAUGGGAUUCAACCCUUUGUUGUGCAAAUUGGUACACAACUGUAUAUCCACAGCCUCCUUCUCGGUACUGGUUGAGGGAUCCCCCACCCCCUCUUCACUAAUUUUAGAGGAAUCAGGCAGGGGGAUCCAUUGUCUCCUAUCUUAUUCGACCUGGUAAUGGAUAAUCUUAGCAGCCUAAUAGAGAAAGAGAUCAAAGAUAAGAGGAUGGAUACUUAUAUCGUGAAUGGAGCGGUUUCUAUCUCGCACCUCAUAUAUGCAGAUGAUGUGUUAAUCUUCUCAAAGACAAAUCCCAAGUCUCUAGAAACAAUCAAGAAAAUACUAGAGACAUUUUCCAAAUUCUCAGGCCUCGAGAUUAAUCAGGAGAAGAGCUCAGCAACCUACUCAAAGGUAUGCAUGAAUGAUCAUUAUCUGCAUAACAUUCUCAACUUCCCAACUAAAUCCCUCCCUAUCAACUAUCUUGGUAUCUCUAUAACUGGAAGAAAGAAAUCUCACGCGACAUGUUGGAAGUUGAUAAAUCCAAUAGAAAAAAUGUUAGUCAGAUGGAAAGGAAGAUGUCUGUCUUAUGCAGGAAGAACUCAAUUAGUGAAUUGGGUCUUACAAGGUAAGUUUCAAUACUGGGCAAACGGAACCACACUGCCAUGCACAGUUAUUAAAAAGAUUCAGAGCCUAGCUUACAACUUCAUCUGGGACGGGAGAAGAGAGAGUAGUUGGGAAAAAAUGGUACUCCCAAAGAGCGAAGGUGGAAUAGGGAUCAGAGAUUUCUUUACAACUAAUGCUUCAACAUUGGUUAAAAGAACAGAGAGGAUGUGGAGUCCUAAUAACUCCAUACUAGCAGAUUGGAUAAAAAUUAGAUACAUUAAAGGAAGAAACAUUGGGGAAAUAAAGUGUAGGCCCACUCUGGACUCUCACAUGUGGAAAACAAUACUAGCUAAUAAGGAAACAAUAGGGAAAUGUAUAAACUGCCUGAGUAACUAUAGGGUCACACAAAUUGCCCCAUCCAAGCACUCAGAAACAUUAAUGCCUAGAGGCAUCUUACAAGAGAUAAAUCUAGGGAUCUGGGCCAAAAAGCCUCCCAAAUUCUCCAUGUCAAUAGUCUGAACACUUUAACUAGACUGCAAGGCUGGGGACUUAACAUAAAUAUGUCAUGCCCACUAUGUGGAAACGAGGAGGAAACAUUACAACACCUAUACUUUAACUGCCAUUACACUAGAUCCCUAUUGCUAGAGACCACUAGCUGUCUUAAUAAUGCUGUUUGGACACUUAGUGGGCAAAAUCCCUCAUCUCCUGCAAUAGAUAUUAGGAUAGUAGAUAUUAUGGAAACAAUACAAAAAUUCACCUACAAGUCUAGUUGUUGGGGGGUACACUGGACUAUGCUAGUAUUAUUUUCCUGACACAUAUAGUGUGAAAGGAACAGGAGAUUAAAACAACACACCCUAAGGCCCCCAGAAAUUGUCGGCAGAUAAAUUAUAAAGGAUGUGAGCAUUGCAUAUGAUUCUACAUCCUAUAAGAAGCACAAUCUUUCACAGAUUGAAAUACAAGCUAUACGCUCAUGGGAGUCCAAUCUCUUGAGGCUUCAAUCCUUGGCCAGUUAGUCAGGGCCAUAGCUGCAUAAGAGAUAGACAAUGUUUUUACAUUUACUGUACUUGCAUUUCCCUAUAUUAUUCUGUAAUCUUGGGCUUUGCCCAACCUCUUUUUCAGUAAUGAAAGUUUUAAUUUCUCAAAAAAAAAAAAUACCAGUGACCCAUUCACUCAUCAAGUUGAACUCAUCAACGUGAAUAGCAUCAUACUUUUUGGAGCCGCUUUCAACAUUGACUUGUUCGUUUUGAACCUCUCUAACAACUUCAUAUUGUAGUUGACGUAGACGAGGUUAUCUAGCUGCGAGAUGCCCAAGCGAUUCCUUAACUUGGUAUGGAACUGUAAAUGACAUUUGAUUUUAGAUAGUCAAAUGAUAUGAAAUAAAUAAUUGAACAUGUAAAAAACUUACGUGUGCAAAAGUACUCCAAUUCAUUUCACAGCUUGAAGCUGAGCAACACAAACCCAAGAUUCUUGUUGCAAUUUUCGUUAACUCCACAAUAUUUCCUCCUAAUAUUACCCACCAUUGUUUCAGCCAUUUUAAUUGCUGCACGUCCUCCAAAACUUCUGUCUUUUCUUGUACAAGCACAUGUCAGAAAAGAUUGUGAUCGUCUAGUCAACACCAAUAAUCAUUCUUUCAACGCAUUCAUUGAAUGUUGAUUCAUACUCCAGAGAUUGAUCCCUUGUUUCAGGAUCACUGUAGUUGGAAAAAAAUAGAAUUAAGCAUCGACUCGUAAAUUCAUUGAUGAAGUAGAAAUGUUGAAUUAAGUCAUAUCUUUUCAACUUGAAAUAGAAAUAUGGAUUAAAAAAAAUGCAGCCCUUAUUAGAGGAGCCUUGUAAUGCUUCCCCCAAAGUUUGUCGAUAAUAGUACGAAUCGGAAGGUAUAAACUUGAAUCUUCUUUGAAGUUGUUCUUUAUAGCUUUUUGGCCUUGAAGAAGGCUCUUUGAAGGUAAGUCAUAUUCGGUUUGGUGUCGCCAUCCACAAUCCUGAAAACCUUCAGAAUAGGUUCUGACGAUAAAAGUAUUUGAUCGACUAUCAACCAAAAACAUACAUUAAGGAAUGUAUCAGCCACAUCCAAGCAAGUUCUUUGAGAGGGACCCCUCGCCCAAUUGGACCAAUCAAAUUUCCUCAAAUUAUCCUUGGCACUUUUGAUACUUUGAAGGGUGAGGAAAGCCGUAGUGAAACGAGUUAUUCCGCAUCGAACUCUACCAUUCAACUUGAGCCACUCCGCAAGCAUAUUAAAGAUGAAAUGGAUGAAACUAGUGAUCUUCUUCGCACUUUGGAUCGUUUCUUUAUAACGAGGUAUUCUACGAAAAAUAGAAUAUAAGUAACUCUGAAUUAUAAAUAUCUAAGUGUGAAUUUGGAAAAUAAAAUUGUAAAUUACCUUACGAUGUCUUCAAGUAAUAGGUCCAAGACAUGAGCAACACAUGGGGUCCAAAACAUAUGUGGAUAUUUUUCCGUCAACAUACGUCCAGUCAUAACGUAGUUCGAUGCAUUAUCCGUGCACACUUAGACAAUCUUAUUGCUACCAAUUUUUUUAAUUACUUCUAAUCCUUUGGCUAUGAACUCCCCUUCUUCAUGUCGGAGGUGCAAUCAACGGAUUGAAUGUAAAAAGUUCCUUCUUCAUAAUUUACCAAGUAGUUGAUGAUACAUCUCCCUUGACGAUCAGUUCAACCAUCGGACAUCAGAGUACAAUCCUGCUCAUCCCAUUUGAUCUUAUGAUCCCUUUGUAUUUCAUGAAUAUUCCAGACUUCUUUGGUAAGUAAUAAGUAUCCCUCCAACAAUUUGGUCCAGUGUUGGAGGAGUGUAUCCUGGACCGUACCAUCCAAUACCCUUCACCCAUGCCUGAAAAUAAACUUAGGUAAGUAAUUUCAAAUUUUAUAAAAAAAAUAGAAUUUGAAAUAUUACCAAUAAUUCAGGAUUAAGAGCGACAUUGAAAGAAACACCACUGGUAAAGAAGAAUUUGCCUUCAUAUUAAUGGGGAGCAAUUCUCUCCUUUUUCAUAUGAUCGGCUAACGUGGUUUGACAGAAGCGUUCUAUUUGUUGUUGCCUGAUUAUAUUGUGAAGUGUUUCGUCCUUCGACAAAUCUAAGGGACCGACCUGUUUCAAAUCAAAGUCCACUGUCUUCUUCGUUGCAGUCGAUGAAGUUGAACCUGUACCACUCAAUGCAAUUUUUCUCUCAAUAGCUCGAUAUCGACGAUCGAUGGUUUCUUCGAGAAGACUUUGUCUUGCAAAACCUUCAAGAUCUCCUCUCUAAUCUUCAUUGGAGCUUUCGGGCAUGGUCUUACGCUUAAUUUUCCACCGUUCGGGUUCACUCGAGUGAUGUGCACCUAACACGGUGGAUUCCACCUGUAGAAACGAAUCCGCAAAGAAGGCACCGAACGGGUUGUGUGCUCUUGCCUUCUUGUUUUUUGGCGUAUGCAACAUAUUUCCAAGUAGGAUUGUCCCAAUUUGGAGGUCGGUUGCUUUUCAUAUCCAAGUACAAUUUUUCGUCGAUCGAUUGGUUAUAGAUACUUGUAUCUAUCUCUUCCAGAGGAUUUGUAGUCGAAUCCUUUUGAAUUUGACCUUCUUUUUCUUCAAUGAUAUUGUUGAUGUCUUCAUUGGCUUCUUCAAUAGGUACUUGUUGUGUAUAAUCAUUUUCAUGAAAUUUAUCCAUUUUGAAAACCCUAAAGCAAUAAUUAAUUAAUUAAAAAACCACAACCCUAAUCUACAUAAUGAUAUGAAGAAAGAGAUGAAGAAAAAUAAUCAAUCUAAGAUUUUAAAACAAAUCUAAGAUUUGAUUUUUUUUGACCUUUUUUUUACUUUCCCCCCUCCAAAUUAGUUCACCGGAAGCUCGCCAGAGGAUCGCCUGGAGAACGCCGCAAAAAUCGGGGGAAGAACUGGCUGGAGUUGGGAGCAAUGUGAGGGAGAAGGGAAACCCUAGGGAGGGUUUUGUGUUUUUAGAAAGUCUGGAAACACAAAACCCUGUAUGUUUUAAUUAAAUAAAUUAAAACAGACUCGGAUCCGAUUAAGAGGCGCAUCUCCCUAUCAGAUCGCAUCCGCGCAUAUGCGCGCGCAUCCUGAAUCUUGUGUGACGUUGGAUUGCUCAAACUAUUUCGCUUGGCGUGCUCAAUUCGUUGUCAUUUUGCGAGGUCAUGAGCUGAUGGAUUUCGUCCAUGGGAAAAUUGACCUAUCGGACGCUAUGGCCAUAAAAUAGGAUCAAUUGAUCCAAGGAUGGCUACUGUCGGCCAUGUUUCGUUUGCCGGAAUGCCCAAUUGCGCAAUUUCCGGAGGAUCAACUACUGUCGGAGGUUGUGGAGGCGGAGGUGGCGUAGGCUCUUUUAGUGUUUUGUCUUCCGAAACAUCUUGCGUUUCGUCGUCAUCACUGCUGGAAUCAUUAAGGUCGCAUUGAGCGAUGGCAUAUUCUUUAUCGGACGACAUUAGGCCUGUCCAAGAAAUAAAGAAAUUAAAAAAAAAAGGUUGGCCGGAUUCCGGUCUAUUUUAGUUGAAAUCCGGUCAACCUAUUUAGAUAGUUUAUGAAAUUUGGUGAUAAAUACGUAAAAGGCAUUACAUUACAAAAAAAAACGAGGAUGGUCGAAAUCCGACAAAACAGGUCGGAUUCCGGCCAACUUUGUUUUCUUUUUUAGAUGGUUUAAAGGAAGAGAAAAAUGAUCAAAAAAAUGAAGAUCUUACUUCAAGUAGGCGAGUAGAAUGGGGGAAGAAAAGCGGCCGAAGGUGGAAGCUCCGGCGAGGUGAGGUCUAGUUUUUUUUAAAAGAGAUGAGAAAGAGAGAGAAAAUAAUCUAGGGUUUUAAAAAGAGGGUAUUGGGUUUAAAUAGUUUUAUAUUAAAGAAGAGGUAAUAAGGGAAAUAAAAGAGUUUUAAGUUCUUUUAAAUGGGUAGACACACCGACCCGGAGCACCAGCCCGGCCAAAAAAAGCGAUGGGACAAGCGCCCCAAAUGAGCGCUUUAAUGCUUUAAAACGCUAAAGCGGCGCUUUAAAACCAUGUCUCAAAGAGAUGUACCUCAAAACAUGGGAAUCAUCUUGAGAAAGGUAGCUGAUUUUAAUAUCAUGCAGUAGAAGACUCUACUACCACUACUUCAGAGCAUUAAAGUUCUAUGUUUAAUGGAGUAAUCAUAUUCCUCUUAAAGAAAUCUUAACUCACAUCAAAUGGGUUGCCCAUUAUCAUUGAUGUGAGUAUAAAUAUAAUGGGCCUAAAGGAGGAUCAUUAUUGAAAAUCGUGCUAAUCAAGGUAUUAUCCUUUGAACUUCUUUUUCUCCCGUUCUUACUAUUCCUGUACUGUUCUUAUUCUUUCUUAGAUCUAGAUCUAGAAACCUUGGUGGAUUUCAAGUUUCUCCCCUCAUUCCACUAGAAGAAGCUCAGAAGAAGCUCUUUCAAUCUUCUUCUACCCCCUUAAUCUGAUUUCCAGGGAUAUCUCCUACAUCAUUUUAAUAUCACAGCUUACUGUGAUGCGGAUUGGAUAGAAGAAUCCAAACAAGAUACUUGGUAUAUAUUGGGGAUUAAUUAGUUUCUUGAGCUUCUAAAAAACAAUCUACUAUUACUAGGUCAAGCACAAAAUCUGAGUUUCGAGCCAUUGCCUUAACAGUUGUUGAGAUUGAAUGGAUUGGUUGUUUGUUGAAAGAAUUGGGGAUUUAUCUGAAAUUACCUUAUAAGUUGUUUUCUUAUAACUUAGGAGCAACUCAUUUGGUUGCUAAUCCAGUUUAUCAUUCUAAAACCAAACAUGCAGCCAUAGAUUUCAGAUUUGUUUGAUACUCUUGUUAUACAACACAUCAAAUGUUCUACAACAAGCUGAUAUUUUCACUAAAGCAUUGAAGCCUAAGCCCGAAGCCUUUCAAGGAACUCAAAGACAAGUUGAUUUGUUCACAUCACCAGUCUUGAGGGGGGAGGAGUAUUAGUGAUAUGUUAGAAUUAGUUCUAUUUAUCAUAAUUGCUAUAUUCUUAACGUAAAUAGUUAAUUACUUCUAUGGGCUAAUUAGUAAUUUCAUUAUCAUUUUUGUAUAGAGUAUAACUAAUUUCUGUUAUACUGAAUUGCAGUGUUUUUCAUCAUGCGGUCUAGUACUCUAGUGCAUGUAAGCGAUUGCCUUCAUGCGUUAUCCGGAUCCGCCUAACCCAUUUACCCAAACAAAAACAAAAAAACAUACCUUAUUCUGUAGACGGCACCCAUUUACCCAAAAAAACCCCAAGGACUUCUGCAAACCCUAGCUCGCCUCCUUCUUGUUCUUCUUCCAACGUUCUUCUUGUUCUUCUGCAAACCCUAGCUCGUGAUUUCCAGGUUAGAAAUCCCGAUUUCCCACCUUCUAUUCCCGAUUUAUUAUAAAUAUCAGUGAAUAUUAUAUGUAUAUUUUAUAAACUUAGGUUAUAUAUUGUAAAAUAUAUAUAUUUUAUAAACUCAGGGUAUAUAUUUAUAAACUUAGGGUAUAUAUUAUAUAUAUAUAUUCCUGAUUUUAGGCGACGCCUAGGCUCUCUAUGCGGUUAUGGCCAUCGCAUGACCGCAUGGCCGCAUGAAAAACCUUGCUGAAUUGUAUAUAUAUCCUACUCAUUGAUAAUGAAAAGGGAUCAAGUUUACUCUACUCCAUUAUUUACAUCUUGAUCACUUAUAUUAUUUUCCUGUCUUCGCAAGGUUGGAGCUUCUUAAUCUAGAUUCUGUAGUGAGAUCAAUCAUUUCUCUUAGGGUUGAAAUUCUUAAGAUGGUUCUUGUGAGCUAGAAAGGGGGUUAUGGUCAAUUAAACAGACAAGCUCUAUAGUCUAUUCCAUUCCUCAUUCUAGGGUUUUACUGCUUAACUAAUUUCAAGUACUUAGUGAGUUUUUGGGUUGCCCAAAUAUCAAUUGAGAUUUAGACCUGAUGGGUAUCAAUUGAGCUUUAUACUUGAUUGGUAUAAAUUCAUCAAUUUUUAGGGCCUUUUUUUGGUUGAAAAUCUCAUGGUGUCAUCUUCUCUGCUUCUUCAGUGCUGAUGGGAUGGUCUUUGGGGCAUUAGAUAAAUGCUCUCUGUGCAUGGGUUUCCUUUCUUAUUCUGGUCGUCUAUAUCGUUGUCAUGGUUAUCUAUCAGCUUGGGGAAAGUGCAAUUUCACUACAACCGAACCCAUUCGCCUGAAGAGUAAAUGGAAAAUCCCCAAAGAGAGUAAAAACAAGUAUUUUUGUGAGGUACACAGCACUUUUUGUUUCUUACCUUAUGCUAUUUUUUAAUUAUUAAUUUAGUAUAAAUAUAUUGGUGAAUUCGUAGGAACAACAAAAAACACAAUUUUUAUGAUUGAUUGCAGUGGUUCAAAUCUCAAAAUUCAAAGAAACCUGUUCGCAUUCUCCCUCUCCCUACUAGUAGCUCUCCUUUAAAUCAGUCUGUUGGCAGAUUUUCUCAGCCUUUUGCUAAUGAAGGAUUGGAAAAUUUGAAAGUUACCAUAAGUGGUGUACCAAAAGAAAAACUGGUAUGCAUUUUUCUCUGGGUGUUUAAAUGUUUAAUGUACAUUGAUGGAUACUGGAUGCUAAGCAUUAAAGUGAUACCUUAUGCAGGGUGAUUUGAAAAGCAAACUUGAAAGUGUUGGUGUUGCUGUUCAUGCCAAGAUAAAGAAAGGUUUGGACAUUGUGCAUUAUUUCCUUUUUCUUGUUUCAUAAUUUUGAUUUCAUUCAAAAUAGGGCCAUCUUCCCCUCUUUUUUAUGUUUUUAUUUUUAUAACAAAUAUUUAUCGAUAAUCAAUAUUACCUAAUGUAACAUUUCAUUGAACAUUACUUUACUUAAUGGGUGUAGAUACUAGCUGUUUGGUUGUGGGUAAACAUUUGGAAGAGGCUGAUCCUGAAAUUAAAAGAGCUCGGUCAGUAGUGUUGCUUGAAUAUAUUUUUACCACUUUCAAUAUGUUGAUUGGUCCAAAGGAUCUUGCUUGAAAUUUUUAAAAGAUAAUUUUUUUUCAGGAAAAUGAAAUUACCUAUUGUGAUGGAGGAUUAUUUGGCUGAUUGUAUCACAAGAAAGAAGAUACUGGCUUUUGACUUGUAUAAAGUUGAAAAAGUUGGAGAGGUUUCCGAUAGUGCCAUGGUCACUGUGAAAGUCAAGGGACGGAGUUCUGUGCAUGAGUCCUCAGGUCUACAAGAUACGUGUCAUAUCCUAGAGGAUGGGAAAAGCAUCUAUAAUACAACCCUAAAUAUGUCUGACCUUUCUACCGGUGUCAAUAGGUAAUAUUACGCAACCCUCUAUAUUUUUUUAGAAAUUAUAGUGGAUAUGAUUUAUUCAAUUAUAGUCAAACAUUUUUGAAAUAGUACAAAUCAGUAGAAAAUAUGGCUUAAUUUUCAAUUCAAUCAAAAUUUGAACCGAUAGAUAUAUCAUUACUCAUUAGCAUCAAGAUCAAAAUUAAAUGCUGUUGGAAUUUGGUCAAUGAGCCUUAUAGCCUAGGUGUAGUAAAUUAGGCUUAGUUGAGUAAUUAGAGCCUAGAUUAUGGGUGGCAUUUAUACUAUGAUUGGUAUUAUAUUAUUAUUACUAAUGGCCAGUCAGUAAUUAUGGUAGACUCGGUAGUUAGUUGUUUUCUCUUUUACUUUCUGUUAUACAAAGUAGGUAAGAUUUAAUAUAAAUACAUGAUUAAUUCUUAAUGAAUGCAAGGCAUUUUGCAUAAACUCUCAUCUCAUUUUUCUACUUUAACAUCAAAACAUGACAUCAUCACUUGCAUAGUUUUAAAAGUUCUGCUUUAAGCGCGCUAAAGUUCUCGUGGAGGAGCGUUUUUCUAGAGAGGGUAAUCAAGCGGGUUCGGGUAAAGAACAACUCGAUUACCCAAUUACACCUAUUAUUUAAUAAUAUUUUCACCUAAUAUACUUUUUUUCCCUAUUCUACCUCUCUUUUCUAACUUAAAUUAAAAACUCUUAUCCCACUUUCAGAUUUUAGUUUGAUUUAAUUGUAGUUGGAUUAAAUUUUACUUGUAUGAAUUAAAUCAUGUGAUUUUAUACUUUUAUAAGGUAUUUUUAA